rnacentral:lncRNA from 1 species
UUCAAACAGGGCCGUCCGCCGGAAAAUGCUGCAGCAUCUCAUAUAGUUUAGGUUGAUUCUUCCCACUGGGUCAGUUCCCAGCGUGGCUUCUUGAUGGGCCUAUUCACAGCCUCCCAAGAACAUUGAGAGGAUGCGGACAACGUAGGGAUGUUGCCGGCCUCCCUCACAGUAAGUUCUCUUCAAACAAAAUAUACCAUCGUUUCCUGUUUCACGUCACAUAUAUACGCUUGAAUUGGGUUCUUCCUGGUACUUUAAUGCAUUAUUUUUCUCGUGGGUAUGUGCGGUUGUAUUGUUCUUCCCCCCCCCCCCGCCCCCCCACCUCUAGACAACGGGAAUGGUCACUCAUCCUGCAGUUGAGAUCCCGAGGCCAGUCAAACAGGACCGCGAGGAGCUCCAAGGUGGUGCUGCUUCUCCUCUACCCUUGUUUAGCUCGUAGAAGAAGGGACCCAGAGGGGAGCUUUCCCAUGCAUCGUCGCCUCCCUCUCCAGCCCUUCCUGUUUCUCUGUGGGUUCUGAGACCGAUGGAAGCUGGGUUCUCUGAACAGUGCUGGGAUAUCAUGAUUCCUGGGCCAAUUGGGCGGCACCUGUUCUGAUUAGAGCGUCCUUUCAGGCAGUUGCAUUUCAGAGGAGAGCAACAUCCAAAUCCGCAGGUUUAUGUGCGCCACAGGUUGAUGAAAGCUCUGUUACUGUCAAAUUAUGGGCCAUUGAUAGGAAGCUCCAUUUCUCUGUUUAAGUUCAUAUUUUGGUGCUUCUGAGCCGUCUCUCGGGCCGAAGCCCACUCACAUUCUUCUCUUUUUUCCUUCUCUUCCCGAUUCCAGAUUCGAUGUGUACAUUUUAUUGGUUGGGAAGCAGAUGCAAUUCCAGAUGUCUACAAGUCUUGCAGCAAUACUCGGAGGCUCUGCAGCAGGUCUUGUAUUACUGGCCGUAGCCAUUGGGUUGGUGUGGCUAUACCUGCUGCACCAUGAGGGCGCCUCGAACAAGAACUCUGAUACUGGGUCCUCAGAUCCACCCCCACCAGGUAUGGGAAAAUUUAUAUCAGUUAUGCCUGAGAUUGCAGAGAUUAGGACUGAUGACAAUGAUGAUGAUGAUGAUGGCGAUGAUGACGAUGCUUCUUGUUCAUCCAAAUCGGCAGCUGAAUGGAAUAGGGUGGGUCGAGCUUCCUCCUCAGGCUGUGAAGCUAUGACUGAUCCCCAGGGAGCCAGGCGUUUCGCCCUGGAAGAAUUGGAGAAGGCAACCAAGAGCUUUAGCAGGGCCAACCUUGUUGGUGAGGGAAGCUUUGGAUCUGUGUACAAGGGCCUGCUUGCUGAUGGCACCAUUGUGGCCAUCAAAAAACGUUCGGGAGUCUCAAGGAAGGAAUCUGAAUUUGUUGAAGAGGUAAGUCAAGUUUACCUUUUAUCAUGUUACAAAGCAGAUAGUCUUAGCACCUUUCCCACUAGGCUCAAAGAAGGCCUUUUCGUAAACCCUAUUGAAUUCAAAGCCCUUCUGAGUUCUCACAACUACCCUGUAUAACAAUCCGGCCACGCAGCUGGAUGGAAAACUUAAUCAAUUAUCUGGGCGAUCCCAUGUUCAUGGGACGAGGCUUCGGCUGUGACAGCAGCCUUCAGAAGGCAGCUUGGUCAAAACAAGAAUGCAAGUGGCACCAUUCAUUCACAUCUUACUGGGAAAAUCUUGAGACUCUGUGGCCUUGCUGUUAUUGAUUUGAUGAUAAUAAUGCAGGUUGUCAUAACUUUUAACCCAAAAAAAAGGAAUAUGGGUACUGAGAUACAUUCGCUUUUCAGUUUAAGAUGAAAGCUGGAUAAUCUCCUACCAUUUUCUCUUGCAGUUGGACAAUCCAAUUUAUUUUCUCACCCUCUAUCAAUUACUAGCAUUCUUGUGUCUUACACAUCGAACUUGGUGGAUGCUUUCAAUGGUUAAACCAGGUUCAGCACUUGUCGGAGAUCUGGCAUCGCAAUCUUGUCACCCUAAUUGGGUAUUGCUUUGAGAGAGGCCUCCAAUUGCUUGUUUAUGAGUAUGUUCCCAAUGGAAGUGUCACCGGUCACUUGUAUGGUAAGUGUCACCUCCUUCCCGUUUUGCCAACACUAUUACUUCCUGCUGACCUUUGUUUACUAUCAAAUGGGUCUGUCAUUGGGUGCCCUUGCAGAAGACAAAGCGUGAAGUAUUCAAAAACAGGCUAAACAUUGGCAUGAUUUAAAUGGAAGCAUGAGCAUCUUAAUACUGUCAUAAAUUAGGUAUAAAUAGUUUUUAUGCCAUAUUUUCAUGUUUGCAAGGAUUGUCGGCUAGCAUUCCCAGAAGCAGUGCGUCGGGUAAGCUCAGAAUAGUCAAAGUUUCCACAUUAAUAAUAUUUCUGUUUUCCAGAUAAUGAGCAUGAUCAGAAAUGUGGGAAAAAUUGACAUUUCUAAAUGCCGAGGAUGAACUUACUCAUAAUAUUGUAAAUUAGUUUUAAAUAGUUCUUAUUGCAUAUUUUCAUGUUUGAAAGGGAACAGUGGUUACACUCCCAAAAUUUCACGCUUCUGGGUAAUCUUGGAUAAUAAAAUUCUGUUUCACAGAUCAGGGGCAUGAUCAGAAGGCACAGCUAGAAUUCAAGCAGAGGCUUUCAGUAGCUCUUGGUGCUGCUAAAGGUAAUGAUAUAUGAGACCCAUUUGUUUUCUUUUGACUGUGACGUGUUUAGAGAAUUAAACGUUGGUGUGCAUACAGAUAUGCACAUCUCUUUCAAAUUAUUUAUGCCAGAUAAGUACUUAAUAUAAUUGAUGAUUGCAGGCUUGUGCCACUUGCAUGGCCUUGUGCCUCCCUUGGUGCACAAAAAUUUCAAAACAAGUAAUGUUCUAGUUGAUGAAAACUUUAUCGCUAAGGUAGCAGAUGCUGGGAUUUCUGAUCUACUUCGAGGAACUGGAUGCGGAAGUCCUCAAUUACCAGGGAGCAAUGUCUUCCAAGAUCCAGAGUAUGCAUGUUUCUGUAAAGUUUUUUUUUUCUGGACGUGACUCCCUUAUUUAAUCCUUAGGUUGAUCAAUUAUUUUUUAAUAAAUUGGUAGAGAGAGAAAGAGCGAGAGAGAGAGCGAGAGAGAGAGAGAGAUCCAUCUUCUUAAUUUUGGAAUGAAGGUAGCUUGUGCAUGUGUCACUUCAGCAACUUGUUUUAUUGCUUAUUCAGGGUACCACAACCUUAGUUGCCUUAAAAGUUUUUUACUUGUGGCAAUUAAAGCACCAUUACAAGACUUCUUUCUAAAAAUUAACAAUGCCUACAUCUCAAUAGAUCUCCAAAUCCUGAUAUCACGUCAACUACCCUUUGAGGCACCAUUUUUUCAUGCAAAUAUAUUAAGUCCAAAACAGGUCUUUUUGCUCCCUCGUCCAAGUUUUCUUAUCUGAUGCUUUUUUAUUAGAUUGAUAAUUUUCUUUUGGUAAAUGUAGAAUGCCUUGAGCUCGUCUCCCCCACUCCCCCCACGAUUUCUUUAUUAUGAGGUGUUAAUUUUGAUUUCUUUGGUUGUGUUUCUUCUUUAUUCCUAGUUUUGAUCCUCUUGACCGACAAGUAUGACCAGCUUCCACCUGUGUAGGGUAGGAGAUUCAGGCCAGCUCUCUGAAAUGAACGACGUGUACAGCUUUGGAGUAUUUAUUUUGGAGCUUAUUAUGGGUCGGGAAAUCACUUCUCUGAGCCUUCUUGAAUCAAAUGAAGGGUUGACCAAAUGGGUAAUGCAAGCAUGCUACAACCCUCAAUUUUUAAUAAAAUAUUUAUGUAAAAACAAGUUUCUGCGAAGCAAUCAUGGUUUAUAUCUAUUUAACUAAUGAUAGAAGAUCAGUCUACAAAUUAUGACCCUCAGUUUUUUGCAAAUAUCUAUAUUGAUGCAGAUGUCCACAAAUAACCAUGUUUUUUAUGGGUUACACUAAUGAUAGAAAGCUAGUUUUAAACUAUCAUCUUCCGUUCUUGAUAAAUAUCUUUAUUAAUGCAAGCAUUCUUAUUAUCUAUUGAAUAAAUGAAAGGAGCUCGGUUUUAAACUACAUGAAGUUUACAACUGGUUUAUAUUCUAUCAUCUUCGGUGUUUGGUCAAAUAUCUAUAUAAAUGCAAGCUUCCACAAAAUAACCAUGCUCUUAAUUGAUUGAACUAAUGAUAGAGACUCAGAUUCAAAACUACCAUUAUUUUUUACAUUAUUCAAUUGUCCAUGGUCAAAAAUCUUCAGACCUGAGGCUCUGAGCCCUCAUUUCUUCGGCUGAAAAUAUCAAUAUAAUGCCUUCACAAUGGUGUCUUUGUUAAAAGGAGGGAUUGAAGAUGAACUCAAGUGAGCUCAUUGACCAGCGCCUGAGCAACAGCUUCACCUCCGAGGGAAUGAAAGGGUUGACUGAGCUCGCUCUUCAGUGCCUCGAUUCACCUGGGAUGAGGCGGCCCAAGAUGGAUGCUGUGGUGUCAGAGCUUGAUAGGAUCCUUGAAACAGAGAUGACGUUGACCAUGGUCAUGGGCGAUGGUACAGCCACUGUUACUCUCGGCAGCCAACUGUUCACCUCUUCCUAAGUAACAGGAGGACCCUCCUUUAGGCUCUUCAAGGCAAGGGAGGGCUCUUGUCCUUAGGACCAGAUUUCUAAUUUCAAGCUUCUUGAGGAGUAAAUUUCUCAAGAUGUACAGCUUCCGAAUCAUUCUUUUAAGGGUUUUGUAAUAACGCCUGCUGUAAUUUUAUUUUUAAUGAACAUUAUUCUAGCGUUAGUUCAGGUGGAGGCCUGUGGCAUUGCUUUUAUGGGGAAUGUGUCUGCAAAUCUACUCCAAUUGUGAUUUUUUUUUGUUGAUUCCUUUGAUUGUGCUGUGAUUUGGGAUAUGGGGGAGUUCGAUAAUCAUGCAGGGCCAAUGGAGGGUCAACCGGCCAAGUUAGUCCAGGAGAAGAAGCAUGGCCAGACUAGCCUUCUCUCUCUCUCUCUCUCUCUCUCUCUCCUCCCUUCCCCUUUCCUCGUCGGUCGUCGGUUAGUUGUAUUAUANNNNNNNNNNNNNNNNNNNNNNNNNNNNNNNNNNNNNNNNNNNNNNNNNNNNNNNNNNNNNNNNNNNNNNNNNNNNNNNNNNNNNNNNNNNNNNNNNNNNNNNNNNNNNNNNNNNNNNNNNNNNNNNNNNNNNUCUCUCUCUCUCUCUCUCUCUCUCUCUCUCCUCCCCCCCUUUUUCAUGGGGCUCGGGUAGUUUGAUUUAAUAUGUUAAAUUGUGGCCGUGAGUUAAGUCAAGGGACUUGAUUAUAGAUGCUCAUUGCUUCGUUUUAGUCCCAUACUGAGGAAAUCAGUUGACCUUUCUUCAUAGAUGGAUCUAGAAACUGCCCCACAUUCCUCAAAUCAGGGAUGAUAUAUCUUCCAAGAGAGGGAAUGAAGAGGAUGAUGAUGAUAUAGGGUGAGCUGUGGGAAAGAGAAAUAGAGAGAGAGAGAGAGAGAGAGAGAGAGACCGACGCAUUCACCACAAGGGGUAUCAUCACUAUUAAAAAUUCUCUCAUUGCUGCCACAAUAUCUACAACUUUUUUCAUGGGUUCCUCCCUGUCCCAUGUACAGCUUGUUGUGUACAGCCUCAUGCAAAAAAAAUCAUGACCCGCCCACCAAAGUGUUUACAUUAUUUUUACUUCUUUUAGUAGUCAAUUAUUAAAAAUAAAAGAAGUCCAGGUGGCGAUGAUUUGAGAGGAAGGGAACUCUUGUCAUAGAAAGAAAAAUAAAAUAAUAUCAGUAAUAACCAUGAGGAAUUAUCUUGGUGAUUAAUACAUAUGAAUGUGUGAUUUAAUCGGUUGUAACAUUUAUGAUACGGCUAUAAAAGUAUCGUUUUUUCUCUAAAUAAUUCGUCUAGAAACCUAUAUUGAUCAGUAGGCUCCAAAUUUGUGUGGCGAGAUCUUUUCGGAUUUUAUGCAGCAGCAGUGUGAGUUGACCAGAUGUCCUUGUUUGUCUCCUACCGCAGCCUUUUAGAAGAAACUAUCUUUCCUUAUUCGUGGUAAUUAGGAAAUAGCGAAAAGAGAGGUAAAAGGGGAUGUACCAGGAAAAGUCAACGUUUCACAAUUGACAGUAUCAGUCAACAUCAGCUUUAAAUGGCGGAACUGACGGCGCAAGACGAGAUCUUUUUUUUCUGUGAAAAAUCGUCGCUGACAUGAACGCCCAUCACGACACGUGGACUCUCGUUAAUUCCGUUACAGUCCCGGCGGCGGAUCACCGUCCGCCUCCGUCGCGGCGGCGCCCACGUGGACGGAAACCCGGUUGGCGCCGUCACGUUGCCCAGCGGUGCUUACCCAUGUCACUGCCACAUGGCGACCGCCGCAUCUCGAUCCCCCCCCAUUCCACUGUAGAAGAGGGCGCAGAAAGCUCUGAACUUUCUUAUGUUAAAUGUUCCCCGCCGCCAUCAUCUCCCCUGCUCCGGCCCCUCUCCUGCGUCUCCUGUCCCUUGCAGGCGCUGCACGGCUGCGCCUGCCGCAGCCCUUCUCACCGCCGAGCUCUGCCACUCGCCGGGCGGCCACCGCCGCCGGUGGGCACCGGGUUCUCUCCAUGGCCGAGUCGACCUCAUCCUCCGGUGCCGCCGGGCCUCCACCGCCCCACAGGCACACCAACCGCCUCGCCUCUGAGCAUAGCCCGUACCUGCUCCAGCACGCUCACAACCCGGUGCAUUACCCCUCGUUCUUGUUUCCGGUUGACCGUGUCUGCCCACAUAGUGGGACCGUCUCGUUUUGACAGAAUCGAUUGCCCGGACACAGUUUGACUGUCCGAAAUGGUGAUACUAACUGGCGGAGUGGGCUAACCCGAUACCCCGGCUGGUGCUCUCAUGUUUCUUCGGUCCUUUUGUGGUGUUCUUGUUUUCUAAAACUCCUUUAAUAAAUUCACAGCACAGUUUUCUCCUGGCAUUCUGGGCACCGAGUGAAUAAUUAUCCUCCUUUUUUGCCCUGAUACCUUUUUUCAGCAAUCACCCAAUAUUUAAAUUAUCUCCGAGGAUUGAUCUCCUCCUGUUAAGUGUUUUUCUCAUGGAGAUUAAUGCCCUGAAUUUUUUUUUUUUUUUUUUUUUUUGCCGAAGGUUGAUUGGUACCCAUGGGGAGAAGAAGCUUUCAAGAGAGCUCGUGAAAGAGAUGUUCCCAUCUUUCUAUCAAGUGAGUAUCAUUCUUUUUCACCAUUUUAUCGAAUCAUGGAUUCAUGUGCUGGUGCAGAUAAUCUCUUUUUGCACUUAUAUUUCUACUGAAACCCAUUUAUUUUCCCCUCCUCUGUUUAUUUGUUUUAACUCCACGCUCUCCAUUGGAAGUUGGCUACAGCACGUGUCAUUGGUCAGUAUAAUCUCCUAUCCAGUGUUCCAUUCAUGUUCAGAUUUAUUGCCCCCCGUCAUCAUUUAAAUCAGAGAAUUUCCAUUUACUUCUGGCAGUAUUUUAUGUAAUUCAUAUCUACUGUGUUUAUGAAGGGUAAAAGCAAAAAUAACAAGGAAAAUGUAGAAGAGUUCAUAAAAUUCUACAUAGAGAAUCAAAAAUGAUGAAAAUUAUUGAUGAGAGUUAUUCUGUCAAUCAUAUAUCCCGAUCUAGGGAAGGAUAAACGUUAACAUGUCGAGAAAAAAUUCAAUGCUUUUUUAGCCUUAGAAAAAUCCUCAAAACUUGUGUUGACCAUCAUAUAUACUAAAAGGUGCUUGUGAGAGCUUCAUACUCUAAUGAACUCGCAAAACAACUUUUCAGGAUCUUGCAUGUUAAAUAUAACACGUUAUACUCAGAUUUUUCUUAUUGCAUUCAUAUAUCAUGAAAUCACCGAGAGGUUAAGCAGUAUAAUUCAAAGAAACAUGCAUUCCCCAGUGAACACUUACCGGAAUGUAGAAUCCUGCAUGUAUUAUUAAGUAUUUUUCUCGUAAUAUUAAAUCGCUCCUCACAGAAAACAUAGACUGCUGCUAAAAUUUUAAUGGAUGUGCAGGAUAUCGACUUUUUUUUGCUUUUGAUAUGUUUGUUAUUGGUCACAUCUAGUUGAAGGCAAUAAAUUAUUCUGUUUGCUCUCUUAUUUAUCACGUAGGUGUCAUGUGAUGGAGGUGGAAUCAUUUGAAGAUGAAGAGGUUGCCAAACUUCUGAAUGAUGGCUUUGUUAGUAUAAAGGUGAGGUGCAUAUGUUCUAGAAACAUAUGAUAUCCUGAAAAUAACAGGGAAGAGUUAUUACCGCCGUCACACUUCUCAUUUAUGUCCACUCUGAGCUGUUGCAAUCAUUAUUUCUGUUAAUAGAAUAACCGAUACAAUCUCUGAAUUAUGUAAUUAUUAGCUUCUAACGUUCUUUAAAUGCGACAGGUGGAUCGUGAGGAACGGCCUGAUGUUGAUAAGGUGAUUGCUGCAUAUCGAUGUAUUUUUAUUUUGAACUGGAUAUAUGACAUUGAUCAAACACCAAUAAUAAGACUGUCUCAUGUCCAACUCUCUUCCAUCAGACCCCUGUAAAAAAAAAAUAGUGCAGUUUUAAUGUACAGUAUACUAAAUGAAUGAAAAAAUUAGAAGAAGUCCUUCGUUCAAGACCUGUUUUUUCCUGUAGGUGUACAUGACAUAUGUACAAGCGAUGUAUGGUGGAGGAGGUUGGCCUUUGAGUGUUUUCCUUUCUCCUAAUCUAAAGCCUUUUAUGGGCGGAACAUAUUUCCCACCUGAUGACAAGUAUGGGCGACCUGGUUUCAAGACAGUUCUCAGGCGGGUGACUCGUUAAAACUUGAUCCAAUAUUACAUUUACUAUAUUUUUUCAGUUUUUCAAAAUUUUUUCUCCACUUCCUUUUCAGAAGGGUGAGGGAUGCAUGGGAAACUAAGAAGGACGCGCUUGAGGAUGGAGGAUCCCGUGCAAUUGAACAGAUUUCUGAGGCAUUGUCAACGGCAGCUGCCUCUCAACGAUUAUCUGAAGAGACUUUACACAGUUCAUUACGAAAUUGUUAUGAGCAGGCAAGCUUUAAUGACCGUGAUGUAAUCAAAGAUUUUCUUAUUUUACUUAGCUGGUGCUAAGAGUCACAUUGUACGUUGAUUUCUUCUAAUGACAUGGAAUCGGCUGUGUUGCUCGUCAGAUCUUUCAUUAAAAUGCUAUAGAGAUAUGGAAAGUCUUUUGUAUCUUACUAAGUGGAUAUGCGUGACAACUUUUCUAACUAUUUUAUCUUUUUUUAAAAUUCUACUUCUCUAGUCCAACUUAAAAAGUUUUUACGAAGUUAUCUUUAACUUGGUAUGAUGGAAGGCUUGAAUUUGAUUUCUGGAGGUUUUUUUGGAGGAAUUUUGUAUGUGAAUAUCCCUCACCUUCUUUUCUGUAACGGCUAUGGCCUUGCCUGUUGAGGGGAACAAAUAUUGGGAUUCUAUGUCCGGCAUAUUUAGAUAUAUAUGUUCAGACAUAUGGAUAUAUUUGUGUAUGUGCGUAUGCAUAUCUGCUAUCUAUAUUUGCAUGUAUAUCAUAUAGUCACAUACUUUGACCGUUUUGCUAUUUCAUGAGCCUAUUUUGGCAUGUUAUUUGAUUUAAUCAUUUUUAUGCAACUGACUCCAAGUGAUGGCGAUUGCAAUAAUCUUUAGCUUGCAGAGAGUUACGACCCAGAGUUCGGUGGAUUUGGAUCAGCCCCAAAGUUUCCUAGACCUGUUGAAAUACAUCUAAUGCUUUAUUGGGCAAGGAAGCUCGAGGAUAUAGGGAAGGAAAAUGAAGCUAGCAAGCCAGAGAAUAUGGCUUCCUAUACGUUAAGAUGCAUGGCAAGGGGUGGUAUCCAUGAUCACGUUGGUGGUGGAUUUCAUAGAUAUAGUGUUGAUGAAUGCUGGCAUGGUGAGUCUCUAUAGCCACCACCAAAAAAACUUCUGUCAACAGUAACUUCCGUAGGCUUUACUUAAUUUUUAUAAAUUUCUGGUCAAAUCGGCAUUGUCGUUGGGAAAACUUUUCUUUUAUAGUCUAAAUGACAGUGUUAUUCAAGACUGUAGUUUAUGAAGAAAAUCGUCAGAAAUGUUUUACCAUCGAAUUAAGGAAAUUUACGUUGUUAUUCAUGAUUCUACAAGUUUAUUUUCUACUCAAAUUUAGUAAUAUGAUUUGGGUAAAAAUAGAAACACAGAUUUGAAAUAUUCUUAUGAUUUUUGUCAAUUAUAUUCGCUAGUUUGGAUUAUUCUUUUCUAAUAUCUAGUGAUGGCAUGUAUGAUUUUUUAGCUACUCCAAUCGCCAACAAUAAUGCGAAUUCAACUCCAAUUCGCUAACAGUUCAAAAAAAAUGAUAUGCCGAUGUGUUUAUAUCUUGCCCCUGACAAUUCCCCCUCAACAAAAAAAAAAGGAGAAAUAAAAUGGAAAAGAAAUUGACAGAGUGAGUAGCAGAUGCCCCCCCCCACCCCCCUCUCUUAAGAAGUGUAUAACGUUCCAUGGAGCAUCCAUCACUCUAGACUAACCUGAUACCAAUUAUGCACGUUGGAAGUGUGUGCUUCCAAUGUUGUAGUCGGAGUCCUCAGGGAGUGUAAGUGAAGCACGUGUGGCUUAAAUUUGAUCCAAAGUCUCAUGUGAAUUGAUGCAAUGGGGAGUGGAAGGGUACAGGUCUUUAGAAACUCUACGCACCGAAUUUUCAGUUGAAAAAAUAGGAGCAUUAUCUGCGUCAUGAACUAGUUCUGAACACAGACUUUUAACAAGUAAUAUGGAUUUUACAUGAACUGUUUCAAUUGUAAGUCAUCUGUGGUCAGCUGCAGGGUAUUAUGAUAUUAGUAGUUGUGUUGGUAACAUCAACCGCACUAUCUUCAUGAGGAAGCGAAUUUAAAAGUAUGAAUAACUGUGCUUAAUUAGUGCGCCUUAUUGUAGUCACCUAUGGAUUAAAUGAUUUUCAUGCUGCACAUUUUAAUUUCAUUACUGUUUUGCAGUUCCUCAUUUUGAGAAGAUGCUCUAUGACCAAGCCCAACUUGCUAAUGUUUAUUUGGAUGCAUUCUCGAUUACAAAGGACACCUUUUAUUCACUCAUGGCCCAGGAUAUUCUUGAUUAUGUCAGACGAGAUAUGACCGGGCCAGAUGGUGAAAUUUAUUCAGCUGAAGAUGCAGACAGUGCUGAAUACGAAGGUGCCACAAGAAAAAGAGAAGGAGCAUUCUAUGUUUGGACGAGUGAAGAGGUUUGUCAAGAGGAGAAAACGUCCUAACAAAUUUCUGUAUUUAUUUUGAAUAUCAAUAAUAUUCUGAGGAAGAGAAUAAAACCUCUUGCUUAAAAUAAUCCAUAAUUUCAUCUAUCUUCCAAGUGUCAUAUUCUCGUUCAAAUAUACCAUAAAGAAAUACAGAUAGAGAUAAAUAAAAUCUGUUGUGUACUUAGUCGGUGACUAUGAUUUGUACUCAUAUCUGAAUUAUUUUUCAUAUUUGAUGUGCACUGUUCGUCAUCAUUUACGGUGAGUGUCUAUGCCAAGUGUAUAUUUCCAGACCUCAAUGGACACAUAGUUGAGGCUCUUUGCCGAGCUUAUCUCCAGAACGAUAACUCAUGGAAUUAUCUGUCCGAAAUUCUUCUUUAAGGGAGAAUUUCAAACUCCCUCUCAAGCAAUAGAAAGUGAUUGAUAAGGAGAAGGCAUCAUUCUAUUGUAGUACUGUCACCGAGCCCUAGAGGAAUAUUAAAUGUUCCGAAAGUGAUAAUUUAUUAGGAUUAUUACAGCAUGAUAGUUCUUGGCAUAAUUUAUGGUUUUAUUAUUCAUCUACACCCGGUAAAAGAAAGAGUGAUUCUCCUAGGAAAGGUUGACAGAGUCGGGAAUACAUUCCCAGAUGAACGGGACUAAAUUCCAAUAUAGGCUCAUAUUUGAUAGAUAUAAAAGAAGAAAUCUCUACUGGAAAUGAGUGAAGAAUCUUCCUUUAAAAAGCUUGCACUAGAAAGAUUCUCUUUGCUCAUAAUCAACACACAAGUCAUAAAACGAUUAUAGAGGCUUCAAAAAUAUUUUCGAACCCAUUGAAGCAACCAAACCUGGCAUUUCUUACGUCGAUUUCCUAUGUGGAAAAAGCCUUCAUGUGUUAAAAAAUUCAUUUCUUUUUAGGGACUGAGUUCCAAAUAAGGAAUAUCUGCGCCUUCAGUACAUUUGGUUGAAACACUUUAGGAGAUUGCUUUAAUGAAGGCGCCUAAGAGAUGAACUUUUGGUUGAAAGUCAUUGAAGGAUGUAUUCUUUUUUAAUCUCUCCUAUUAUUGAUAGUUCUUUCCUUUAGAAAUACAAGUGUAAUUACUAGAUCUCCUCUGCCAAAGUUACUUAUUUUUUCCGUCUUUGUGGUAGAUUAGGCUCCAUGUUUCCUAAUAUUCGUUCCUCCUGUAUUUUAUUUGUCUCUUGUUGUUUUCAUAUUUGACUCAACCCAAAAGGUCGAGAAAGGACUUAUUUAUGCCCCCAUUGUUCAAGUGAAAGAUGGGAUUCUUGUUUUCUUGACAAACACAUCCGAAUGUAGCUGUGAUGAAAAAUAGGAAUUUAUAAUAGCCAAUGAAGAAAAAAUUGGUUUUCGAAGUUUUUAUUAAUGGUGUUCUUGUCAAACAAACAUUGAAUAUGCAUGGCAGAUAUAACAUGUAAAAUACUUGCCACUAAUUGUGGAUCAUCAUAUUUUGCUUAAGGUCGACAAGACUGUUGGAGAUGUGUCAGAACUUUUCAAGGACCAUUAUUAUGUAAAAGGUUCAGGAAAUUGUGAUCUCUCCAGAAUGAGUGAUCCUCAUAACGAAUUCAAAGGAAAAAAUGUUCUAAUAGAGAGAAAAGAUAUAUCUUCAAGAGCUUCCGAGAUGGGCAUGUCUGUGGAUGAGUAUGCGACUAUUCUUGGAGCAUCUAGGAAAAAACUUUUUGAUGCACGUUUAAGAAGACCGAAGCCACAUUUAGAUGACAAGGUAUCCAUUUACUCCGUUCAAUAAAUUCUGUAACUCCAUGCCCUUUUCUUAAUUUUCAAGUUUUUUAUGAUUCUUUAGGUUAUUGUUUCAUGGAAUGGACUGGCAGUAUCAUCUUUUGCAAGAGCUUCAAAAAUUAUAAAGAGUGAGGCUAUAGAAGCUAAAUUUUACUUCCCCGUCGUUGGAUGCAAUGUAAGUUCAUGUACUUUCUAUGUUAGAGAUAUUCUUUCAUUUCUACUUAUCUAUAUGAUUGGCGGUCUGUAUGACUCAAAUUCUAAAUGACUUGAACUUUAGUGUAACCUUAAUUUCAAGGUGCACAUAAAUCCAACCAAAUGUAAUUUGAAAUAGUUAGAGUUAAUUUAUUGACCAGAAAAUAUUUAAGCCAUUUAAUAACAAAUAAUGAACUCGGACAGAAUCCAGUGAUUCUUUUCAUCGGCUGGUUCAUGUGAAAGCCAAGCCAUGGGAUCAUCCUCAGCCCUAAGUCAUUAAAUAUGCGUUGCAUGAAAAUGCUGGUAAUUUAUUCUCCUGUUUGGUAGGCUUAUAAAGAUUGUGGUAUUUACUCGAUGUAAUUAUCUAUGUAUUUUGAAAAACUAACACAAGCGCCUCCUGAACAUAGAUUAGGCAUUUUAGAUGUGUGGCUAUUAAACUUGUUGAAGCUAGGAGUGCGAAUCAGUUCUUCCUUCAUCUUCUGUAAUAAGAACUGAGUCUAAUUCCUCCCAAGAACUCUUCCCACCGGUUACUUUUUCCUUGAAACUAUUAGUGAAAUCUGUUUCGAAUCAGCCAACAUGUGACAGAUUCUAGCGCAUUUUUCAGACUUGAGACAAUUUCGACAUUCUUUGCUUGAACACAUGAAUUUCUAUGUUGUUAAGAUUCGUAGCCCUAAGACGUCUUAUUAAGGUGAUCCCCAAGAUGCUUGUUUAGCGAAUUUUAGUACCAGAUUUUUAGAUGACUCGCGAAGAUAGCCUCGGUUUAAAUGCUCUAUCCAAGUGCAUCUAUCAGAACUGCCUGAAAUGAAUUAUUGAAUCAUGGUAUGCCCAGUUAAAAUAGACUGUCUGGCCGUGAAUUCAUGAUAACUUUAGUGUUAUCAUGAAUUAUUGAAUCAUGAUAACACUAAAGUGGAAAUAAAAAUCUGCAUAACUUGUGCCUAAAAAUAAACUGUACAUUUAUUUUAUGUGAAAUAAUGUAAGAGGCUGAAAAAUGAGAUCAUGCUGGUCAGCCCGCGUGGAAGUUAGUCUUCUUGGUCCGUGUUCCAGAAACACUCACCAUUAACUAAAAAUAGACCUUCCCUCCGGGGUUCAGGUUUAUUUCAUGUUAUUUAUACCACUAACCAAGAAAACUACUUAUCAAAGUCAAACUUUUGAGUCGUGAUAUUUACUGUUCUACAGCAUUCCAAUAUUCCUGCAAUCUACGUGGACCCCAUCUGAGAACUUGAUUGAAUUAUGGGUCAUUCUUUGUAUGUUGUGGUUCCUCGGUUCACAGCCAAGUGAGUACCUGGAAGUUGCAGAAAAGGCAUCAGCUUUCAUCAGGACUCAUCUCUACGACGAGCACUCUCACAGACUGACUCACAGCUUCCGAAAUGGGCCCUCAAAAGCUCCAGGCUUUCUGGACGAUUAUGCCUUCCUGAUAUCAGGGCUGCUGGAUCUAUACGAAUCUGGUGGCAGCAUCAAGUGGCUGAAAUGGGCUGUUGAUCUGCAGGCCACUCAGGCAUGCAGAUGGGCACAUCUCUCUUGGCAUAUCAAUAUCUUUCCAUACCAGUCUUUUUCUGGCUGUGCAAGUCCCACUGAUCUUGAUAUCCCUCCCAUUAAUGGUUUUCCAGGAUGAGCUCUUCCUCGACAGAGAAGGGGGAGGCUACUUCAACACCCCGGGAGAAGACCCUUCUGUCCUCCUACGAGUUAAAGAAGAUUAUGAUGGGGCAGAGCCCUCCGGAAACUCUGUGUCAGCGAUGAACCUCAUGAGACUGUCCUCCAUGUUCUCGGAUGGUAGAUCUGAAGAUUACCAUAAAAAGGCAGAACACCUCAUGGUUCGUUCGAGCCUCUGAAAUUUGAUCAAUCGACCUUGCAAAACCAUAUGAUUUAAAUAAUUUUUUAUAUUUUUUAUUUUUAUUUUUACAGGCGGUGUUUGAGUCUAGACUGAGAGAGCAGAGUGUAGCCGUCCCACUGAUGUGCUGCGCUGCAGACAUGCUGGCUGCCCCGUCCAGGAAACAGGUGGUGAUAGCGGGCAACAAGGCUUCCCCAGAAUUCAAUGGCAUGGUCUCCGUUGUUUACUCGUCAUAUGAUCCCAACAGGAGGGUGAGCACUCUUUUCACUUGAUCAUCCUUCUUCAUCUUUUUUUCCCCAUCUCUUCAAAUCAAAUCUCUUGAGAAGCUCCAUUCAGAUCACCCAUCUUAUAAUCUCUUGAGUAGCUUGAACCAGACCUCUCAAAUUCUCUUUGUUUUCUAUCCCUCCACAUGGAUUCUCUUCAGAAGCAUGAAUCAGAUCACUUAAUCCCACCUUGCAAUCUAUUGAGAAGCAUGACUCGGCUCACUAGAUCCUCUUUCUUCUUCUUCUCUCUCUUGAAAUCUCUUGUGAAGCACUUGAUUCUCUCUUUCUCGUUUCCCUCUCUAAAAAUUUCUUUACACGUUCGAAUCAGACACUAAUUCCUCUUUCUUUUACUCUUAAAAUCUUCACAGAGCCUUGAAUCAGACCGCUCAAUCCUCUUUUGUUCUUUCUUCCACCCACUUACAUGCUCCUCAAUUGCAGGUGAUCCAGAUUGACCCCAGCAACAAAGAAGAAAUGGAAUUCUGGGAAGAAAGCAACCUGAGCAUUGCCGCCAUGGCCAAGAACAGGCUGCUCCACCAGACCAGUGUGGCUCAUGUCUGUGAAAACUUUGUCUGCAGAGCACCCGUCACCUCCCCUGAAGCUCUUCACACGCUGCUGAACAAGACUCCCACUGGAGCAUAGCCCAAUGGUUCUUCUGGCCGCUGCCAAGAGAAUCUGGCCACCUUGUCCAUCCUCUUUUACUGCUGCAGACAAACAACAGGCCACUCUUGUAAGCGUGCAAUAGACCACUGAAAACAAGUUCUUCCGCAAGUCAGUAUGUUGGAAUUGUCAAAGAACCCUCCCUCCCUCUCUCUCUCUCNNNNNNNNNNNNNNNNNNNNNNNNNNNNNNNNNNNNNNNNNNNNNNNNNNNNNNNNNNNNNNNNNNNNNNNNNNNNNNNNNNNNNNNNNNNNNNNNNNNNNNNNNNNNNNNNNNNNNNNNNNNNNNNNNNNNNNNNNNNNNNNNNNNNNNNNNNNNNNNNNNNNNNNNNNNNNNNNNNNNNNNNNNNNNNNNNNNNNNNNNNNNNNNNNNNNNNNNNNNNNNNNNNNNNNNNNNNNNNNNNNNNNNNNNNNNNNNNNNNNNNNNNNNNNNNNNNNNNNNNNNNNNNNNNNNNNNNNNNNNNNNNNNNNNNNNNNNNNNNNNNNNNNNNNNNNNNNNNNNNNNNNNNNNNNNNNNNNNNNNNNNNNNNNNNNNNNNNNNNNNNNNNNNNNNNNNNNNNNNNNNNNNNNNNNNNNNNNNNNNNNNNNNNNNNNNNNNNNNNNNNNNNNNNNNNNNNNNNNNNNNNNNNNNNNNNNNNNNNNNNNNNNNNNNNNNNNNNNNNNNNNNNNNNNNNNNNNNNNNNNNNNNNNNNNNNNNNNNNNNNNNNNNNNNNNNNNNNNNNNNNNNNNNNNNNNNNNNNNNNNNNNNNNNNNNNNNNNNNNNNNNNNNNNNNNNNNNNNNNNNNNNNNNNNNNNNNNNNNNNNNNNNNNNNNNNNNNNNNNNNNNNNNNNNNNNNNNNNNNNNNNNNNNNNNNNNNUCUCUCUCUCUCUCCUCUCUCUCUCUCUCCUCUCUCUCUCUCUCUCUCUCUCUCUCUCUCUCUCUCUCUCUCUCUCUCUCUCUCUCUCUCUCUCUCCUCUCUCUCUCUCUCUCUCUGUGGCUGGGACAGAAUCUGACACUGCUGCCCAGUCCAGACUUGUUGAGUUAGUCAGGGGUUAACCUUUGCCCCCUGACCCGUGAGAUCCAGCCAAAUUCUUAUACAAUAUUAGGCAGCUAUUAAAAAAAAAACUUACUGCGCUGGCCGAUUAUUGCUCCUCAUUUGUCAGACUGAGGGUUUCACAAUUCUCAACGCAGCCUUUUGGGCCAGCCAAAUCUGCGUUAACAACUACAACCAGCACACAAGCUGUGAUGGAGAUCACCUUGUGCAGCCAUCAUUCAUCUCAGGAUUUUGCUUCUGUACAUGGUGUGAACAGAGCCAUGAUCCAUUCAGAUCUGUUUAUGGUUGGAGGCUAAGAUAUUCCACAGACCAUAUACAGACUCUCAGAAUUCUGCUCCCAUCAAGUCCUGCCAUGUUCCCCUCUAUCAAGAGACAGAAAGAGUGAGAGAAACAUGUGCAAGUAAAACUCCAGGAAGGGAUUGAGAUCCGUGGGUGAACACAGGGGCGGCCUCUUCAUGGUUGGCAAUGAGGCUUAGACCAGCCAAGAACAUGGAAAAGGAGCACACCAAACACAGUCUGCCAGGGGCUGCGGUGGGAGGCGAGGUGGGUUAUUCUACAUAAUUACACACGGAGAGCAUCAAGAACGAAUCAGGAUGGUGGCAAUGGCAAUGGUAAUGACAAUAAUCAGGAGAAAACAGAGGCAGGGAAAAGAAACUCUCGCAUUUACAGACCUCCUGGCCUGAUCUCGUAAAAGGCAAGUGACUGGGCCCCCGAGGUCCAUCUGAAUCAUGGGGAUGAAGAAGAACAAGGGCAGAGAGAGGCCAAGGCCUGGGCAGGUGGGGCUGACCACCAAAAGCUUUUGGCACCGCCGCACGCCUGCCAGAGCAGAGCGUCUGCCGAGAAAGGCUCAGCCCAGCAAGAACCUGAACAUGUCGCUCAAGGAGAUGAUGCCCUCCACGCGCUUGCUGCCAGCUUCGACGAUGAUGAUGCGCCUCACGCCUGAAAUAGACGGCCCAGAUGAUUCAAAUGCAAUUCCAUCGAUAAGGAUCUUGCAUGGAUGGCAAUUAGUGGAGAUGCUUACCAGGGUUGGCCAGCCGCUCCAUCACUUUCUGCAGAGGAUCCGUGCGCAGGCACAUAUGGCAUCUCUGCCCGUUGAAGAAACCAAACGGAGAGCUAGCAUCUUGUCCGAGUUGCAAAGCCUGGGUCAAUGGGGAGACUCACUUUUAGUAAUCGAAUGAAGAAAAAAAGGAGAGAGGGUCUUACUUCUUUGGUACAAAAAAGGGGGAAAGAAAAUCGUUGGAAAAGAAAAGAAAAAAUGGUGAUUUUGCCAGGAGAGGCUCACCUGAUGGAUGCUCAUUUCAUCGAGGUGGACUUGAGCAUAGACUUUGUCUUUGGCAAGAUAAGUAAUGUCACUGUCAUGAGGGAACGAAAAAGUCAACCACCCGGGUCCAAGAUUGAGAGAAAAAUCGCUUUCUUUGUCAACGUAGAGUGUAUAAGCAUAACCAGUGGUGAAGGUCGUUCACCUUCGAGAAUAUAUAUCCACCAGUGAGUCAUUAUCAUCAACUAUUGGUAUCGAACUAACUCGAGCUGUGAAGUUGAAAUGAAUACACUUCAGUCCAUGAUAUUUAAAGUUUACAGCAGCUCAUUGAAAAGAAGAGAAGGAAUUCCUGCUCGAUGUGAAUUAAUUUCGGAAAUCUGAUUCUCAUACGAAGAAUCCUCGCAGAAAUCUUCUCUCAGAUGAAAUAUGGUAACAGAAAUCACAUUGUUCCAUAAUAGUUUGAAAUUAAUAGUAAUUAAUUCAUUACAGAAGAUAGAAUUUCGUAAUGGGCAAAAAUUCCAGACAAAGCUUUCCAGUUUUCUGUAAGAAAUUUAGGCUACUGCAAUCUGCAUCAGCUACAGAACAACUAUCACCGAUGACUCUCCAAAACUGCCCUGACAUCCAUAAAAUUGUGUGCCUGAAAUGUAACCAGAAUGAUCCAAUAAACCCUUUUCAUGUCGAUUCUAAUGUUUAACCACGCAACAAACAACUAAGCAGCAGUGAUUAGCAGCCAACUGUUAAGGUGGCAACCUUAUUUAUAUUUUCCUUCUUCUAUAAAUUUAUUUUAAAAUCCUUUGAAUAUUGUAACAUAUAUCAACUUCCCUAGAUGACCUCGCUGAAAAUUCUAAAAUCAGACCCCGGAUCACAAAAAAAAUUAGCUUUUAUUAUUGGAGCAGAGUAAUAUCAGUAAAAACAAAGGCAUUAUUAAAUCUAAUUACAAAUUUCAGCAAGAAAUAUUGAAAGGACCCCUCACAUGAAUGACUGAGAACCGGUCAACAUCCAACAGAUGCCAAGCAGACCAUUGGCCUUGGGGAGAAUAAUAUAAGACCAGUGAAAGCUUUUAUUUCCCAUAUGAGGUUUAUCUCUGGUAUAUUUCAUAAUAACUAAUCGUUAACAACAUCCGAUCGAUCAUUUAACUGAAAUGAUUUCAACCAAGUCUAGUAAGAUAACAGAAGCCUAAAUUACCUUCCAUGAUCAGUCUUUUUUUGGCUCCCCACGCUUCAAUUAAGUUUUAAAUAUAAGGCUCCAUGAGAAAUGAGCCAAGGCAGAAAUACACCAGGUUUCUGACCUUCCAGUGCAUCUAAUACAUGCCUUAACUGAAGCCUUUUUAAGACUCUCGCUUGGUAUUUAUCUCACUAUUGGGGUGAAUAUCUCGUUCCCAGUUCCAUAUUUUCGCACUCAAGAUUACUGAAAAGUUCUACAUGUAUGCAAAAAAUUACUCACACAAAAAAAAAACUGAAUGAAUGUAGUUUUCAUGUCUAAUGUUAUAUUUCAAAAUCACCCAGAGUAAGCUGUCCAAGGGUAGUUUCCCAAGUUCAUGUAAAGAACAUUCUAUCUCAUCUUUGAGUCAAUGGUAAACCACUUAAUUGAAAGGAUCACAACAUUAUAUCCCAAGAAUGUGAUACGAUCCCUUUGGUCACGUAUCAGAGAAGAGGUAAAAGGGAGUCUUAUUAAUAGGAGCACAUGAUAGAACGUGCCCAAGUAGAGUAGGUGAGAAGUUAGGGUAAAAAGGGGGCUCCUAUAAAAACCACCCUUAGGGUUAAACAAGUGGGGGGGAAGUAGGAGGCAGCAAGAGGUUGUGACUGAGGUCGCCACAGGAGGGAGAGAGAAGGCAUGCUGGAGGAAGCUGUUGUCAAGAGUUGGUUCCCUUUCUUCUGUCUAUCUCGUACACAUCUUGUAGAGGAACUUCUGACUUCAGAAACUCUUUAAAUUUGAUACGAAAUCAUGCGACAAACUCUACUAUUUCCUUUUGGUUCAUAUUAGAAUGUUACAAGUACCAAGCUUUUUGACAUGGUUUUUUAACAUUAACCGCAAAACCCUAGUGUUACAUCAUCAUUCCAGGUCAAUGAUAGAAAAAAGCACUUGAAUAGAGUUUCAAGGUGUAGUGAUCUGUGAAGUCUUAUGAGUGUGAUUUUUUCAGGAUGUUACUGACACGAGGAAUGCAAUGGAAGUUCAUUACUAUCUUCCUAGGUUCUCAAGGUGCUGGGCCAGCUGCAGUGUCUGAAGUUCCAUUGUAAUCCAACGUAAAAAAGAGCAAUGCAAGAGCUACUAUUUGAUGUUCCCUCAGGCUCCUGUCAAAAAAAAAGGAAAAAAAACACGACAAAAGGGGAAACAAAUGAAUUUUCUGUCAUGUUAAUGAGUCCCCUCUCCUUAAAGUGGCAAAAUUUGGAUAUGCAUGAGGCAUAAAAAGAAUCAUUCUUCAACUGUCAAAGAAUAUUUUCAGACAGAAUAUAACAAUCUAUGCAAACAAAAGAGUGCCUGGUUGCCUAUACUCUGAGCAGAAAAAUACCUUCAACUAACAAAGAUAGCGCAGAGCUAAGUGAAGCAUUUGAUCUGAGCAUUGCCAGAGGCCGAACAUUUGUUUCUCCUAUUUUUGGAACCCAUGUACCAAUAGGAAAUGAACAUAUUGGUUGUUGGAGAAUUGGUAGGGAACUAGAGGAAUGCCUAAAAUGUCUGCAUAUACCUGCAUGUAGGAAAAGAAGGGGGUUUAUAACUAAGUCUUUGAGAUGGUCUAGACGCUUGGAUAGUCGCCAUUUUAAUGCAACAACUGUGAAUAUAAGAAAUACUUACAUUUCAGUAUCCCUGAAAGUGAUGCAAGAUGCAAUAACUGCGGAAAAGAACCAUCCUUUGCAGAAGAAUGAAUAAUGGGGACUGUUGCCACCUCAUUCUGCAAAAUCUUCAAGGCUAUGUCAGCCAGUGUAUCGUAAGGUCCCAUCUGCACCAAAACAGCCAAGAUGGGACAAAUUAUUUACUCGUAAAAAUUAUAUUGGUCUCAUCUCAGUCGCAAUAGAGUUUUCAGACAAUGAAAACGGUCAUUAAAGUCACAGUUGCCAGAGAAACUCAAAGGGUGGCGAAGUUACCAACAAAAAUAUUCCAGGAUAAAAGGAAAUUCCAAAAAAAUAACAUAAGGCUAAAAACAUAUGUUAUGAGUACAAAGGAGGCCCCUGCAAAGAGUGACUGAGGCUAGAUAAUUUAAGUGCUGAAUUGCAAAUAAUAAAGUACAUAGGUCACUCCUGUCUUUGACAACGUUUUGCCACAGUUGUCAUAAAUUGCAUGAGACUAGGUUCCGCAGGAUAGAGUACCCCUCAGCAUGAAAACAAAGAGGUAGUUAAGGAAAACAGUAGGCGUAACUAAAAACAGGAGAUUGCACAGGAACGGAUCCCUUCAACAAUGGAAAAAGAGAUUCCUGUCAUAGGAAUCAGAAACAAAGACGUGGACCGUGCAGGGUGUCCUUUACAUGUCUGUUGAUCUCACUUGAAGAUCACAGUGAGUAAUCAACCUAGCAAUCAUGGGCUUGUGGACGAUUACAUUUGGGAUUCAACUGUCAGAAAACGGCAAAAAAUUACUCCAUUUCGGUAACAUGGCAUAGAGGACUAGUGGUCCACAAUAAGAGAGGCAGAAAUGCAGGCUGUGAUGUUAAAAAAAAGCGGUUUUCCCAAAGGGUACUGUAAGAUGUUGGAUGGUCAACCACUUCCAAGUUGACUGCAGCGCCUAGCUCAUUGUCACCCAUUCCUUCAGCAAAGAGAUGUGUUCCAGAAACUGGAGCAGCACGAAUGUAGAGAGGCUCUGAUGGUGAGGGAUAUCAGAGAGAGGGCGAAGGGAAGAACGGAUCUCAGCAUAAUCGCAAAUGAAAGGUUUCCACUGUGUACAGAGUUGGAUAGACGUUACAAGGUGGGAUAUACGCUUCAGCAUGCAGGUAGCCAAAGGACACAAGCAAGAUCAGGUCAGAUGAAGGGAUCCCACAUUAGGGCCACUUACGAUUAUGUCUGUACACCAGCAGUGACCAGACGUCACAGAGGAGGCUAGGAGCAUCACCCCCACCUCUCAUAUUGGAGCCAAAUAAAGGAAGCUUGCAUGGUGGAAGAACCGCCAGCACAGGUUCAAGAAUCAAUGGGUGAAUACAGGGAAGUGAUAGAAAAAUCACCCCAAAGUCAAUCAAAAGACAAGCAAUAAAUACGAGAUAUGUGGACGCCAAUUGAGAUUAAGGAAUGAGUUCAUUGGAUUUGACCAGAAAGCCAAACAACAGAAGGAUGAAACUGAGAGAAAGGAGAGAACAAAAUCAGAUAAAAAAUUGCAUAGGCAGUCCAUUUGGUUUGCCACAGAAUCUGAGCCAUACUGUACAACCACAGGAUAUAAUAAAUGUUUCGAACUCAGUACACUACUGCCGAUGCAAAUAAAAUCACCAAGAGCUGUCAAAAUAUACAGUUUUAAAGGAAAGAAUGUUCACGCCCUGGAAUAAAAAUUGAAUGUCCCAUGCAAUCAAAGUAUGAACCAAACUUAAGAUAUCCACCAAUAAACUUUUGCGGUGUAAAAUAGUCAGCAUUCCACUCUUGCUUUGUCAUUUGCCUCAUCUAGAUAGCAACAACUAAAAGAAAAAAGAACCAGUUUACGUCAGCAAUAAGACAAGCUUACAUGCAGUAAAUCCCUCUGAAUCAGUCUUCCAUGAGCAUCAACUUGCCUGUGUAGUUGUUGCUUUCCCUCUUUCCAAGCAGAUAUUGUAUGGGUCUCAAGCUCCUCCUCAGUCAGAUUUGAGCCAUGAUUUCCAAGCUGCGGUUGUUCCAAAUGUGGAUAAAUUUACACACAUCAUAUCGAUUGAUAAAUAAUCAAGAGAACCGAAGAAAAUUCAAAAUUGUAAAAAAUAUAAGAACGAAAAAAAAGGACCCGCUUGGUGGACAGAUACUGUAUUCAGAACCUUCCCAAUUAAGAAACAAGAUAACUAAAAUAUGAUAUACCAUAAUAUAGGCUGUACGCCUAAAAAACAAAUUAAAGAAGUUAAGAUUCAUGAUCUCAGACUCCUUUCACAAAAAAAAAUCAACAGUAACUGGCCUGUACAGUAAUUUGAGUUUGACAAACGAAUUGAAAUGAAUUUACAUCAGCCGAUAUGGAAUCAUAUAGGUCAAUCAAUGAAACCCAGAACUGCAAGGGGGAAAGAACAGACAGCAAAGUAGGUGUCUGACUCUCGUUUGGCUGGUAUGCACCGAUAAUAUAGGCAUCUGAUCCAGAUAAGUCUAGAUAUUUCGCUUGAAGGAUUGAAACGUACGAGAAAUGGUGAUUAUCUGCGCGGUAUCUGACAGUCAUAUAAGAACGUAUCUAAUAUUUUUUUCAUUAACAAUCAAACCUUGUUUAUUGGUCUAUACACCAAAUAUUGGAAUGUGAUGAAAAACGGUGCCAUUCAAUGGCGCAUACAAAUGCAAGAAUUUAAAUUAAGAACAGAAAAAGCGAUUCAAGAAAACAGUUUAUUCCAAGAAAAAAUAUAAAUCGACUGUAAAUGUCCACAGAUGUAAAAUAGACCUAAAUAUGUUUACAUAAUGAGAAAGAAAUAUUUCCAAUUAAAAUAACAUAUAAUUGUACUGUAGUAAAUAAAGUCAUUGAAUGAUGCUGAAUACCUCUCUCAGAAUCAAUAUAAAGUCCAACGCACUAAGCAUUCCAACAAAUUGUCCCCGGGAGAAAUCCCAUAGUGGAGCCACAGGCAUUCCCUGGAAAAGUCAGACGGGGUAAUAACAGUGAUGGAAAUCGUUCAGAGGCGCUGAUAAGUGAAUUUCCCAAGAACUAGCAUAGCUAUAAACCUAUGUUUAAAAGGUUUUUCCAAAAAGCGUAAUGAUUUGAAAAAGAACAAAGGCAUAUCAGUACCAAUGGGAAAAAAAUAAUUCACCAUUGGAACGAUAUUCAAACUAGGCAAAUCUUCCAGCCAUAUCUGUAAGUUUUAGUAGUAACAACAAAUCCAGUAUGCAGAGUACACAAUCAAAUUUUGCUAGAGGGGCAACUGCAUUACCAGAAUAAUGAACCUAACUCAGGGGGAAUGAUGAGAGUUUAAUUAUCGGCAUAAGUAUCGAAGGAAGAAAGGAAUGGAGGGCAGGUUCUUUUACUAGACUCCAAGGUAGGAGGUUCUCACAUCUUCUACCUGGGAAUACCCUUUACUACGUUCUUACACUAAAGGGUUGAAUAAAGAUUGUGCAGAAAUUUGAAAGCAGAGUAGAACGAAAGGAAAGAUUACUUCAUUAAUUGGAGGCUAAUUCUACACUUCUCUGAAAGAUAACAUCUAUCCAGCCUGUCACAAAUGAAGCCAUUCAACUUCUUUGGAGAAUCAUUAAUGAAUAUUUGAUGAUUCAGUUCAUGGGAAAUAAUGUGAAACAGUUUACAAGAAAUUAAAUACACUCGGGAUCAAUCAGACACAAAGCGUUUGUGGGAGAUCCCCCCGCUUUCAUGGAGGCAAUGUAGUCAGGGACAGAUCAACGGGGGGACAAUGUCAUUCUGCAUGUUUGGGAGUUUCCAAAAGACUUGUAUGUACCAAUAGCUCAGUAAAGGUCUUAUAUUUAUUUUUUGCCAUAUCCAUAUAUAUGUUGCCUAUGGAUCAGGAUUCUCCUGUUGUCUCCUUUCUUUAGAAUUGUCAGGUUAUAUGCUUAUCUCCUCAGACUUUGGUUUCCUUCUUUAAAUGCAACACCGAACUCUGUGAGAUCCUUUAACUAUUACAAGAAUGGAUCUAUACCCCCUUCAAACAAGCUGAAGCCAGACACAGGGUUAGAAUAUAUUUUACCAUGAAUUACUAAUAGGUAUCCUGAGUAGAAAAUUACCACUAAAAAAUAUUAUAGCAAUUCGUAGAAGUUUGUUGCAUAUGUCUUGACUAAUUAACUGAGAUAUUUAUUCUGAGGGAGUCAACAACGUACCUGCUCAUAUAGGAUAUGGAAUGCUUGUUUCACAGGCAAAUUAACAUCAAGGGCAAUAACCUGAACAAUUUGAAGCAACAGUGAAAUAAGUUGUACAAGAAGCAAAGUUCAUAUGCUUUUAAAAUGAAAAUCUGGAAGUUCUGUUAAUAAUCAUUCAUAUAAGGCAAUAUAUGAACCUUCCCAGAGUCUGGAAGCAAGUCAUAAGCCGUAUGUGUUGAUAAAAAUACAGAUAUUCGAUGACGAGAUACAUCGAUAUCAGCAUCUGAUAUCCUCAGAGGUUCAGUUUGCAGGGUUCCACCUGAUACAGUCACCUGAUUGACAUUGAAGGAAUAGAAAUGCAAGAGAAUAUUAAUAAAUCGUCUAACAAGGCAUGAGAGUGCAAAAACCAAAAAAAGUUACAUCAUUCAAAGCAGUAAGCUCCUCUACUAAUCACGACCAUCAGAAAGAAACCAACGAAGUUAACAUGCUGAUGAAAAAAUUAGUCCAUUGGUCUUCCUCUAGACGAAUAAUUAAGUAAUUGUUCAUUGAGACAAUUAAUGUUUCCACGGUAAUAUAGAUUCAGGGGAAGAAACACAAGAAUGAGGAAGGUAGCAAUUUUGUAUACGUGUGUUGAUUUCCACCCUUAACUUUUUGUUGUUUUUUUAAGGGUGGGUAUCAGAUAGCAGAUGAAAUGAUUAAAAUCAGGCAUAGUGAAGCAACUACUUUCCGCAUUUUUGAAAAAUUCUAAGGCAAAAAGAGAGAAGCAGCCUGGCAUUGUUACGAAUGUAUUCAAAAAUAGCAAUCACUAGGCAAAUUACAUGGCCAAAUAGUGGAAUCAGAAUGGGCUAUCAUAGGAAAAAUAGUUAGCUCUUGAUAAACCAGAUUACAUGGCCAAGGUUAAGUGAAACUACAUCAUCCAAUUAGCUGACGACAAUGCAACAGGCGUAGAAGAAAAGCACGAAAUUUUGCAAUGUUUUAUUUGCAACGUGUUCACCAAACAAUCAUUGACAUGGCUCAACACAAUUUAUUCUCAAAGUGCAUACCUUCAGCUAAUCACUGAGAUACUCCAAUUUUCAAAAACUAAUUUCUUCUCUAUUGACGAAUCAUCAUUAAAACAAACACGGUAAAUACUGACUAUCAAAAAUUCUGCGUAUUAUUCAUUCCUUUGAGCUUUCUGAACAAUGCACACUCACCUUGCCAAUACACACACGUAGAUAGGCAGUAUUCUUAAACAUGGAAAACUGUAUCGAAAGGUAAUAACACAGCGAGAGAGAUAGAGAGAGAGAGAGAGAGAGAGAGAGGAGAGAAGAAGAGAGUACUUACNNNNNNNNNNNNNNNNNNNNNNNNNNNNNNNNNNNNNNNNNNNNNNNNNNNNNNNNNNNNNNNNNNNNNNNNNNNNNNNNNNNNNNNNNNNNNNNNNNNNNNNNNNNNNNNNNNNNNNNNNNNNNNNNNNNNNNNNNNNNNNNNNNNNNNNNNNNNNNNNNNNNNNNNNNNNNNNNNNNNNNNNNNNNNNNNNNNNNNNNNNNNNNNNNNNNNNNNNNNNNNNNNNNNNNNNNNNNNNNNNNNNNNNNNNNNNNNNNNNNNNNNNNNNNNNNNNNNNNNNNNNNNNNNNNNNNNNNGAGAGAGAGAGAGAGAGAGAGAGAGAGAGAGAGAGAGAGAGGGGAGAGAGAAAUGAGAUUACUUCCAUGAAAUAAUUAAAUAUUCGAGACAAUUGAAUAUCAUAGCUAAGUAUAAAGAAAGAAAAUUCAGUUUCUAAUAAACUAGGAAUAAUCCAGGUCAACAUACCACACGCUGAAAUGUUUCAUUAUCCACAUCCAUAUUCACUCCACAUGUAGGUGUGUCAGGAUUCGGGAUUGGAGCAAUAGGGUCAGGUUCCCUAGUUAUAACGACAGUAUUUACUACCCCAUAGUUUCCUGUCACGGAGGGUUGCCGUUCAUCAUGCCUCCAUUCCCCAUCAACAAAAAACUUGUACUGCAUUGACAAAAUGCAUUAAGGUCAGUAAUUAUAACAGCAAACCAUUAUGCUAAUCAAGUGCUCGGAUCUCGUUCUACAUUAUCUAUUUCUCUCGCCUCAAAAGACCAACGGCAUUCAAGGGGAAAGAUGUCAGGAGAAGGAAACAAGAAAAAUUUUGCACUCCAGAACACAAAAAUUAAACUUCUAAGAUACUUUGACCUCGCAGGGAGGACAGUUGACUUGUGAAUGUCUUUCAGACCAUUGACUGCGGUGAAUGCCCACUUUUCUUAGAAUGUUGGAUUCUUUUUUGGGCGCCAUACUUUUGGCAUACAAAGGUAAAUUCCUUACGAAUAGGCACCGUCUUGGAGUUUUUCAGUCAUCAUAUCACCUAGUUUUCGCUUUUUUAAUUUGGAAGAUGAAAUGAGGGUGCUCUUAUUGAACUCAAUUGGGGGAGGAAAUUACCAAAUUUUACUUUAAAUGCGGUUUUUAAGUAUAUUGAGGUGAACAAUACUGUGCAAUUAGGAGAUCUCACCUGAUGAAUUCCUGGCGUCAAGCUGCAAAUGGCCUGAAAUACGGUGGGACAACCCUCCACUGGAGACAUUGGCAAGUGUUCGGCCCACCUAAAAACAACGCAAUAAAAAUAACUCAUGAUCCCUUAAAAUGGAAAAAACAUCCGACAAGCACAUGUAUAAUCCACAUCUCCACCAAUUGUUUUUCUCCUUUCAACCCCAUUUUCAAGUAGAGAUGGAAAUUCUCUACGCAACAAGGAAGAAAAACCAUCUAUCAGAGAAGCCCCAGAACAAAUUAGGUAUCCUCCAAGCAUACCCUAUCAAGAACAAUCAGAAGUAAAAGAAAAAAGAAAAAAGGAUACGAAUGAAUAUUUUCAAAAGCUAACCUAGUGAAAGAACCGGUGAGAAAGACCCUCCUACCACCAUACGGCCAGAAAAACCGCGUGGGAAUCAGCACAGUGCCCGAAGCUCCGCUAGCAUUUUGUCCUCCUGCGUCCGUCUCCGACGAAUACAUCUGGCCAAAUAUUCCGCGUGACGAAAAACACUGAAUCUGAUGCAACACUGAAUUCUGCGGAAUUGCGGCUCAAGAAUCGUUUCCAAUCCCUGUAACGCUGGCCUCCGAGUCGAACAACCACCUUCUGCCCCGAUGCUCCUCUUCUUCAGGAGGCCUCAUGAAGAUCCCGGAGGAGGAAGGUCACAUCCCAUUCCGGAAGAGGCAGCCUGCAGCCCAAAACUCCGAAACCAGACCGAAACCCUCAUCGGAGCCACUCUCUCCCCGCACAGCGGACGCAGCGAACCCUCCCCGAGGAACCCUCAAUCAGUCGACCCACACCUGCAGGCGAGUAAAACCACAGCAGCACAUCUGACAGCAACUCCGACCCCAAAAACAAUGCGCCGGAAAAUCCUCCGGCAAGAUCCCCACCUCACUCAACCAGAAACCGGAAGCCCACCCCCAAUUCAAGCAAACUCCAACCUAUCGGGCCUUCGACCCGCCCAAUCCGCUUCUCCCCCCGAUCCCCACGCAGCCGAGCUUCGGGAACCCUAAAUUAACCAGGGAAAAAUGCGGGAACGGAGGGGAUUCUCAACCCUAGAGACUCCAACUGCGUCCCCGGCGAGCACAUCCGGAUUGGUGGCGCGUCCAAUUCACCAGAGCAGGAACGACGAUAACCAGCGCGACCCGCCCGGUAAAAAAGCAAAAUUUUGGAAUAAAUAAUCCGAAGAAACAAGCCCGGCCUCCCGGCGACGGAAUCCUUCGAGCGGGAGAGACGACGACGACGACGACGACGAUGACGGAGAUAGAGAGAGAAAGACACAGAAAGUCUCCACAGAGACAGAGAGCGAGAGAGGGGGCAGGCAGCGGCGGUGAUUGGAUCAGGCGAUUGGGCUGGCGGCUUCGGUGCGUCGUGAUAUGUACCCCUCUGGGCGUGUGGUCACGAGCUCUGCCCGGCAGGGGAACGUUGUGGGCUGCCUGCCGGCUGACCGGGAUUCCCGGGCAGAUUGGGAUGGGACUCGACGGGGCCCACCAUUUUUAAUUAUAUUAUAGUACUGCAAUACAGUAUAGUAUGCUUAAAAAUAGGAUGUAAAUGGGCUGAAUAUAAAGCCCAUAACCACGGCCCGGCCCAUUUUAAUAGCCCAAGUAAGACUUUUCCUGAGCGUCUUCGGACGGCGGCUACAGCCAGUCAGCACCUGAUCCAAUUUUGACACGUGUCCGGUUCCCGUGAAUCCCAUUUUGACACGUGUCGAUUGUGACCCACAUCACCAUGCAUGUGUCGCGGGAAUGUUGGCAACAAUAAACAUAUAAUAUUUUGAUUUAUUACCCAAAAUACAUUGUCAUUCUAAUCUUCUGUCCAAAAAAAAGGGUGCACAAGGAAAUAAAUCCCACAUUAAAUCAUGUUUUUAAAUGGACUCACUUCGAUGAUAUUUACCCUAAGCAAGAGAGAGAAAAUAUGACUAAAUGUUUAUUCAAAUUAUUAAAUCAAUAGGUAAGAAUUAUAUUUUUAAUAAAAUUCAUUAUUCAUAAUUAUAUAUAUAACAAUGUACGUUCAUGGUUUUGAAUAAUGUCUAUGACCCAAGUUGGGUCCACCAAGUUGGAUUCCCCCCCCCCCCCCACUAAAGACUCUGAAUAACCCCCAACCCAUUCAAGAAUAGUAAUGUCACUUGACUUGUGUUAGUAAUCCUUUUUCUAUUAUUAUAGUGGAUAUUUAAAAAGAACACUAAUUUUGUGUGACAAAAAUCAAGUAAUUAAAAUGUAAACAUCAUCAUUAGAGCUCUGCUAGGCUCUUUUUUAUGGCAAAUCCCAUAUCCUUCUUAGUAUAUCACAAUAUUUUUUUAUGGAAUUAUCUAAAAUCACUUCAAAGAAUGUUUUGAAAUGUAAGCACUCAUAUAUAUAUUUUAUAUAUAUUUAACCAAAAAGGGUUUAAACACAUGCCCACUUCACUACAAUCUUGUAGGGAAUGAUAAUUGUGAAAUAUCAUGCUGAAUAUAAAUGAUAAAUGAAGGGAUUUGAGAGCAAAGUUUUGAGAACCAAGAACUAGAUGAGUGCUCCAUGCAUUCACCAUCUUCCCCUUUUUGGGCAAGAUAGGGAAAUGUUUUUUCAAAUAAUUCAUACAUUAAUUCACAGAAAGGUAAAAUCUUGGGGUUUAAAUAUGUUCAUAUGCCCAUUGAAACUAAAUGUAGGCUUUUAAGAGUUUCACCAUAGUAGUUCUAAAUGGUCUCCCUCACUCUAAGCCCUCUCUAAAUCUCUCUCAACAAUUAAUCCUCCACAAGUUUUUUAAUUUAUCCUAUACCAUGAUUUUGGAAUAAUUUUCGCCUUCAUUGUAUAUGUGUCUCCUGAAAGGUUAUAACUCCCCUAGGACAAUAUGAAGAGAUUAAAACCCAACAAAAGUGGGAAACUUGCCAGUCAAAUGUCCACCAUGGAUUCCACUCUCAUCCUAAUACCCCCCAAUUUUGUGUUAAUACCUGGUCAGAAUGCAUAUUUAACAGCCAUUAUAAUACAGGGGUUUUCAGUAUUAUUAGAAUUUUGAGAGGAGCAAAACUAAUGAAUGAAUAUUUGGAAGAUGGGGUGAAACGGUGAAGGUAAAUAUGAAGUGUAGUGUGCGAAAAAAAUUUGCGUUUUUUCUAGGGACUUCAGAGAAAAUAAACAAUUAAUUUACCAGGGGAUUGAAGGGAAGAGGAAACAUACGGGACAAAAAAAAUAUAAUUUCCGUUUUGCAGUCCUUCCACAGCAGAGGAGAGAGAGAGAGAGCGAGAGAGAGAGAGAGAGAGAGAGANNNNNNNNNNNNNNNNNNNNGAGAGAGAGAGAGAGAGAGAGAGAGAGAGGAGGGAGGAGGGGGGGAGAGAGAGAUUCGACAGUGAAUCCUUCCUUCCCUCCGAUCGAAGAUGACCGUUGCCGGAGUAGGGUUUUCUUGGGGAGUCGGUCCUCUGUUAUCGUGCCGAGGGGCGGCUGCGAGGACGGUGGAUUGGGAAUUAUUGCUGAGUUUGAUUUGAUUCUCGGGCCCCGUCGAGGGGAGUAGGGAGACUGAUGCGAGGAAGGGGGUCUGGAGCGAGCGGGAUAGUCGGGGCGGCGCCGAUCGCAAUGGCGUGUGGCAUUUGAAGUCGGAAGGAUGCGUGGAUGGCGGGAUGGGAGGGCCUCCGUGGGAGAAAUUGGAGGGAAGGUCUUGUCGCUGGUUUGUUGACCUUGUUGUACGCUUUGCGGAGGGAGAGGAGAAGGAGGUGGGAGAGGGUCGGAGAAGGGGAAGGGAGUGGCUGUGUUGGUGGUUCGAGAGCGCGCCUGCACUGAUACUUGCAUUAUGCCGGCAGUGAGGAGAAGGGAGGAUACAAAGAAGGGGCGAGGGUUGGAGAUUGUGUAUGGAGAGGGCGGGGAGAUGGGGGACAAUGAACUCGAAGAUGGUGAAGCCUAUUCGGGCGAGGAGGAUAGCGCCACCAUCGACCCUGACAUCUCCCUCUCCUACAUCGUAAGACCCCCCACGGACUCCAUGUGUAGCCCCGGCGUCCAUUAAUCGAUUUCUUGGUUCUCAAAGUGGAAGGAUGAAUUUUUUUUUUUGGGUUUAGUUCGUUCAUUCUUUAGCCUUGGAUUUGAGAAAAGUUCUUGAUGUUCUUUUCAUUAUUUUUUGCGACGGUAAUUCAAGUGUCUGCACAUAGUCAGGUUGUUCAUGCCCGUAUUGUUACCACUUUGUACUUGUAGAUACGGUCUCAUCACUGUGAAUGAGCGCUAUAUACUACUGCGAAAUUUUUUCUUUUUACGAUCAUAGCUUGGAAUAUUUCGCUAGAAAGAAUUUCCCUUCAUGUGCUUUCAGGAUGACAAGAUCCAAGGUGUCUUGGGCCAGUUUCAGAAGAAUUUUGGAGAUGGAGUGUCUAGAGAAAGUUCGGGUAAGAUUCAGAGCAAAAAAAUCGCAUUCUCCAACUCUGAUGUUGGAUUAUAGUACUGUGGCUAGCAACUGGGGAUGUUUAACAAGCAGUCUUCAUAAUUUCACAGGGAGAUGGCUAUAUGAAUAUGGUUCAUUCUUACCAGUUUAUCAGCGUGCGCCAUCUGCCUACUCUCAUCCUGCAUGUCAACCGAGGGUACCUACAUACAACGCACAGAAGGCUCCUUUCAAGGUGUCAGCUUUAUUCUCACUCUUUUAAAUUAUCACUUUACAAAGACUUGCAUCGGCCUGUAGUUGGACCAGUUGAUCUGCAUCUUAAGGAUCAUUUUACUUGUCGGAACAGGUUGCACAUCAAACUCCUGCAGUUUCGUCCAGUGGAUCCAUUCCCCUUAGAAGUAACUCUGUCUCAGUAAUACCAGCUGUGGAUGUCAGCAAGAGAAACAACACAUGUGUCAGCACACCUACAUCUGGAGAAUUUAUUCUGCGGGAUAAUUCAAGUCAUAGAUUUGAGGGUACCAGUGACUCUAAUAUACUGAAGGUUCGUAUUAAAGUAGGGCCUGACAAGGUGUUGCCAAGAUCAAGUGCUGCAAUUUACAGCGAUAUGGGCCUUGAUUAUUCUCCAUCAUUAUCAGCAGAGGACAGCCCAAGUGGGGAAUGUAAUUUGGAUGACCUAUGUGCUACGCAAGAAUCUCCAAUGGCUAUUUAUCAGGUCAUCAUUAUUAUCCAUAGUCUGUUUUUAGUGGUAUUUUUCACGACUUAAUCUUGUUUAUUUUUUCAAUUUUGUGUGACAGGUUAUGAAAAAUUUUAUCACUGUGAGUGGAGAUAUUCUUUCCCCUCUUCCUGACAAUCUGUUGUGCCUGAUGGAAAAAGAAGGUACAUAUCAAAAGGAAUGUAAGUUAGGUUCUCUCCACAAAUUUGAAGAUGAGGCUUUAUCUAUGAACAAUGGCAAAAGUUACGAAGAUGGACAAGAAAAGUCUGUUGAGACAAAUGCCAGGCCCCUGGAAUCAAAGAGCACCAAUUUGAAACGUGGAGAAAACAGUACAACUGGGAAAACGAGGACAUAUUUAGAUAUAGAAACAUCAGGUAACAGAGAGCCUGAGCCUACGCCUACUUCUGUAAAUGCUCAUAAACUGCCUGCUUCAAAAGCUGCUGGUGAAAAAGAUGAAAAACAACUAUAUGGAGGGGCAGGGAACGCAUAUGGUACCUCACGAGGCCCCAGUAAGGUUUUGGGCUUGGACACAGAUUUUUCACCUGAUUCAUCAACGGAUGAAUCAUUGGUGUGCAGUACUACUAUGGAAAAUACAAAGGUUGGCAGUUUCGGGGAUGAUUCCUCACAUUUCAAGGGGAAAGUGAACUUCAAAAAGAGUUCAACUGGGAAGCCAUUGCAAGAAGGAAAAAGUAAUGGUACCAAAGACGAACUGUUUGACUCACAUAGCAUGUGUGGAGAAAAAGCAGAUAAGAACUACAAUGUAUUAAAUUCAGAGUUUGUUGGAUUGAUGGGAAGCAAUGAUCUGACAGUCAAGACUGUGGACCAUGUGAAGGCAAAAACUCAGAAAACUACUCUGCAUGGACCAUAUGAUGAGAAGAUGUUCCUAGCAAAGGUUGCCAAAGAAAAACCAACGGAAAACCAAACAAGUGGAAUUCAACACAUUGAGAUUGCCAGGAAAAAGAUUAAGGGCAAAUCUUUAUCUUCAAAGGAGAAAAAGAAAAUUUGUUGUACGAAAAGUGAAAAUUCUGAAAAGAAGCGAAAUGGUAUAAAAUCUCAUAAAUCGAGUAGGAUUCUUUCUAAACAAUGCCAAAGAAAUUCACUUUGUGAGGCGGAAGGUGGAGAAAUGGAGAAUAUUAAUGAUUCAUUUGAAGAAGUGGUCACUAAUACAAUAAAUGAUUCGAAAUUUGAACGUGAGAAUUUUCCAUUGUCUGAACCAAUAGAAAAGAAUUCAGAAAUCUCACCUUUGAUGGCGGAUGUACCAAGUUCUGAUGCAGCUUCAGCACCUUCAGCUCAUGUCAUUCAGGAAAAUUGGGUCUGUUGUGACAAAUGUCAGAAAUGGCGCCUUUUGCCAUAUGGGACAAAUCCUGACCAUCUCCCCAAAAAAUGGCUUUGCACUAUGCUCAGUUGGCUGUAAGUAAUUUUCUAAAAUUUAUCCCAAGGAGUUGAACUUGUUGUUUUGCUGCUGUGACUAAUUGCAGAUUUUAUUGGGCAAUAAUUUCAGCCGUUAGAUACAUGGAUCGCGCCUUGUGCUUGCAUCUGAUUUAUUUUUAGUUGAACAUACUGCCAGUAACAACUGUGUUUUAUGUGCUCUGAUGCCUUACUGCCUCUUUCUUGUGUUUGCGAUGCAGUUUGUUUGUAUGCAUUUAUGUUUUGAUGUCUUAUUCAUUUCUUUCUCCCACUACCGACUCCUGCAUGCAAUCUCUAUCCAGGCCUGGAAUGAACAAGUGUAUUAUCAGUGAAGAUGAGACGACUAGAGCUCUCCAUGCUUUGUACCAAGUACCUCUCCCUGAGAACAGAAGUAAUAUGAAUGGUCCUACUGAUGCAGCUUUACUAGGAACGGCUUUCACAAAUGAACGUCAUCAGUAUCAAAAUAAUGAUUCUGUUAUGCUUUUAUCAUCCAGUCAUGGAAAGAAAAAGUAUACGAUGAAGGAUAAAUUGCAUCCCAUUGAUCCAAUUCAGCUACCAAGUUCUGUCAAGAAGAAAAAACAGGUUUUUGUUAAGGAUAGAAGCUUUAAUGGCGUACAUGAAGUUGAAUCAAAACAAUCACAGAGAUCCUCUGUUCAGCUUAUCAGCAAGCCAGCAGAGUCUUAUUAUGGAAGUGAUGAUGAGAGACAAAGAGAGACAUGCAAAACAUUGAAACGAUAUUCCAUCGAAGGUUAUGCCCCUCUCUGUUCUUUGUGAUGCAUCAUCCUUUUUUACUUUUAAAAAGGAUGACAUUUAUCUUCAUAUGUGUAAUUAUUCCUGACAUGAUACUUACAUAACUGUAUAUAUUCACUGCAGGUGAAAUCCUAGAAGAAGAUUUUAAACCGUUAAGAUCCGAGAGCAAGAGAGAUUUUAAUCAGGCUUCAUUGCAUCCUUCCAGAAAUGAUUCAGAGGCAAACUUCUCAGGGUCUGUGAAUAAAUUGACAACAGCUGCACACUUGGCAUCGAUUGGAGACUGCAAAGAUCAGUUUAUUGCUUCUGGCAUGAAAGAGUCUGAUAAAAUGUUUUCUUCUACAAAGAAAAGAAAGAUAAGCUUGGAGAACUUUCGGGUCCACUCUGAGACUGUGGUGGGUAGCGGAUAUAUUGCAGAUGAUGGAUUAAGCAUCAAAGAUGAAAUAAGUGAAAAUAACCCAAGGAAUGAGAAGAAGACAGAAAUUUCAAGGAUCAAGGGAAAAGAAUCCGUUAAAAUUAAGAUGGGUAGUAAAAUUGACAAAAAUGGCCGGGUAAUGAGAAUUUUGUUGUCUAACGUCAAGGAGCAUAUGCCUCAUGGAAUAGAGAAACGUAAUGGCUCUACUGAGCAACAAAGCGACCAGUUCCAAUGUAAUGCAUCUCCAAAAAGUAUGGACGGUUUGGAUUCAUCGAAAAAGGAUUUGUCCUGUGUGCUGCAUUCUACAGUUGCUACUUCAAGCUCAUCCAAGAUUUCAAGCUCUCAUAAAAGCAAGUCAAAAUUUCAGGAAGCUAGAGGUUCUCCUGUAGAAUCUGUUUCUUCAUCACCUUUGAGGAUUUCCAAUCCUGUUGCAUUUGAAGGUAAAUCUAAUGCCUUAGGAAAAGAUGCUGUGACUGGUAGCUUUUCUAUCAGAGGUAGCCAAAGAAGAUCCUCUGACGGUGCAGUUGGUGGUGGGAUAGGACUGUCUGGGACAGUAAGAAGAGAGAAAGAUUCUUCAGUUGCCCGCUGUGGAUCUUUGGACGACCACUGCGCCCUGGAUUUGGGGGAUCUGGAAUGUACUAAACGAUCUUCUGAAUCUUUGAACAAGGAUGCAACUCCAAUAUUAGUUGAAAAUGGAAAUGUCGUGCUGUACUUGAAUUCAAUGAGGAACUCGCAUGACGAUCAUUCACUGUCUACUUUUAGAGAAAAUAAUAUGGUUUUUGGUGAUGUGAGCAUUUCAGAUCGUUAUAAUAAAUAUCUUGACGACAUUCCAAGUAAGAAUCAUUGCUAUGACCUGGAAAAACUGAAUAAUAACAUCCAUGCCAAAAAAUCAGUUAAAGGUCCUUCACCCAGGUUGAAUGAGAAGCAUGGAAGUUCGAAAUGCUACACUGGUAACAAGAAACUUAAGAUACGAGAUUCUUCUAGUGAGCAUAAAAAAUUAGACUCUUCUAAGAAACGGAAUAUCUCCAGACAUGGUGCUGAUAUGGAUUCUCAUGGUCGUUCUCCAUAUCAUGAGGAUUUGAUUGAUGAAAAGUAUAUUAUCGUGCAGAAAGAUGAUGAAAAGAGAGAAGCAGAGGGGAAAUCGCCAGUUGAAUGUGGGCGGAAUAGCCAGUCAAACUUUCUAUCUGAUGAAAAUUUGGAGGCUGAUAGCUUGCUGGCUAAACAGCAAAGGGGUAUCCACUCUAGGGACAGUGGAGCUGGAACUGUCGCCAGACAGGUGGGCAAGUUUCGUUUGCAAAAUAGUCCUCACACAGCAAAUUUUCAUGGGGAUGAAAAGCCAUCGACCUAUUUAAUCUCCAAUCAAUCUGAUAGAUUGAAGAAAAAACCUGGAAGAGGAAAGUCUCCAUUUGUCUCACAUUCUGGGGAUAAGCAAGAAACACAAGUACAAAUCUCCCAAACAGUCUUGUCACACACCAACGCAGGCAAGGCAGUAGUGUCAUCUAUUAGUGCUGCAAGCAAUGAUAUAUUGAAGAAGGCUAAACAACCUAAGCUUGAUAGCCAGAAUGCAAUGAAUCACAAUGGUUUGAGACAUCCGAUACCUGGCGAAAUUGAUGCCCCAAAUUUCAUCAGAAGGGAUGCUAACCAAAGUAUAACUACUGCUUUCAAGGAGGCCAGGGAUUUGAAACACACUGCUAACAGAUUAAAGGUUUGUUUUAGUGUCUGUCCUUGUGAAGAAUUACAUGUUUACUUAUACUGUUGAGUAAGUGAAUAUUUUGUCCAUCUGUGGCAGGGUGAAGGAUUGGAGCAUGAAAGUACUGGUCUAUACUUUGAGGCAGCAUUGAAGUUUCUUCAUGUGGCUUCCCUUCUUGAGUCUUCAAGUACUGAAAGUUGCAAAAAUGGGGAGACUACCCAAUCAAUGUCUAUGUAUGCUGAUACUGCUAAACUCUGCGAGUGAGUAUAACUAGGCUCGAUAACUAUAUUGUUGCCUUUAAUCAUCAUGAUGUAAAGUUAGACAUUCUGUGCUUACUUUUAUUCCCGUCAUAUGUAUAUAUGCCUUGUAUAUUUUGCCAUCUCUAAUAUAUGCUCUUGAUUCUUGUGCCUGUCCCCAAAAGAUGGCUGGUUAUGUUUGGUUAAGAAUCUUUUUCGGAGCAUAUUUAACUAUGAACAACUUUUUUUUUGGGAUAUUGGAUUUUGAGUGGAAUAUUUAUCUAUUGUUUAACUAGACUUUUUUAACUUAGGUUUGUUGCUCAUGAGUAUGAGAAAUGCAAAGAAAUGGCUGCAGCUGCCCUGGCUUACAAAUGCAUGGAAGUGGCAUUUAUGAAGGUUGCCUUUUGUAAACAUUCCAGUGCAAGUAAAGAUCGGCAUGAACUGCAGACGACUCUACUCAUGAUCCCUUCAGGUAAGCCAACAAAUUUUGUGUAGCCUGCUAAAUAAGAACUAUGAUGCUUCCAUAAGCCAAUGUUUUCUUCCUGGUGGCACCUCUGCAACAGGCAAUGAUUUUAUUUUGUAUUUAUUUUUUUUCAUUGAAUUCCCGUUGCUUACAGCACGCCUCCCCAUCAUUUUUGCUUUAGCGAUGACUAUUCAUGUGCUUGGGAAGUUGUCAAUGUACCUUCUUCCUCUGUAGGUUAUCCUCGCUAAUCCUAGUCUCUUGGUUGGGACAGUCAGUUGGUAGAGGGCAAGAAGCUUUGCUGAUUUUCUUUGGAUAAUUGGAAGUUUGGUACCAUUCAUUCUCAGAAGCUGGUUCAAUCAUCUUCCUGAAAUCUUCUGAUGUUUGAGUGGGUUACAACUGAUGUUGCAUACAAUUUCCUAGAAGCCACAAUUUCCGGAUAUUUUCAAUAUGGAUUGGCGUAUGUGGGUUGGAACAGCCUUUCGAAUCCAGUUACCUUUGUGGUAUCUGAUUCUUAUAUGUACAUGCUUUUAUGCAUAUUUAUAUCACAUUGGGUGGCUUUCAAACUCAAAAUUGCCCAAAAUUUGGUCAAAUUAGAUGCUACAUCAGCAAUGGUUGGCUACAUAGUCAACAUUAAUGUUGCUUCCUCACCUAGAGUAAGAUGACAACCCUGUCUGACCCUAUGCAAUGUGGCAUGGGUCGACUAGGUCGAGUAAUUCAUGUCCAUAUGUGGUAGAAAGGCGUUCCUAAUAACAUCAUCAAUAAAUUGGACGAAUCUUCCGCAUGAACUUUCUUUCUUUCUUUCGUUCCAGAAUUCCACUAAAUUUUUGUCCUCCAUUUGUUUGAAAUAUUGGGAAAGGGCUUUAUUUUGUCCUUGUGCUAGAAUGUGAUACUGCCAGAUCAACAGAUGGGUUCUCUUUGCUCAGGAAAGAAGACUUCCCGUCCUUUAGGAGCAUCCCUUACUAGCCAUGCCAACUCAGGCCUCCUUGGUCCUUCAGUGUAGGAAAACUCUAGACCAUAUCCUGACGGUACCUAACUCAUGUGAUUCAUUGCUUCUAUCCCACCACCUACUUCCUUUUUAUCUGUGUGGUCUCUGCCCAUUAUGCAGAAUUUGUGCGUGACAACUUCUCCCCGUUCGCCGUCAAUAAUUUUUUUAUCCCGAAGACCACUUCAUGCCAAAUGCUGCUGGUUAUUUUCAUCGCACUUCAAAUAGCUUGUCUCUACAGAAUGCUACACAAGUGCCUCCACCUGGACGAAAAUCUGAUGUUCAUCCACUUCAUUCGUGCAUUUAGGGAUUCUGCAUUUAUUGAGUGCCCAUUUAUCUCCUUUAGCACAAGAAUUCAAGAAAGAUGCGGUAAAACCUCUCAGCACUUAAAAAUGAUGGAGUGGUAUUUAGACCAGAAGACUCUCGGUCUUUGGCUCCUCAACUAGUAGUGGCUAUUAAAACAUUCCCUGGCAGAAGCAUAUAAUAGCCAUAUGGAGAAUUAAAAUUUGUUUGCUUCAGUUACUUAUUGCUCAUACCAGCGAAUGAAGUUUUACUAGGAGAGUCCUGUUUUUUCCUUGAUCCUCAAAGAUAAUAAAUGUUUUUGUAAACAAUCCAACGUAAGUGGCAGCGCCGGUGUAAACUUACUGAUAUUCUAUCAGAGUUUCUAUUCAUCAUUGGCUUUUGAUUGACGAGCGUGAAAAUGAUCCCCAAUGAUGUUUCCAAUUCGAUAAUGUUUGGCAAUGUUAAAUUGAAAAAAUGACAACAAUGUUUAAUAACCCCAGAUAUUUAAUUACCGUUCAAUGUUUUAGGGAUGAUAACGAAUAUUGAAGCAACUGACUUGUUGCACUAUAAUAUUGCUAUUUGCUCUCGUAACAUAAUGGCAGUAGAUUUGUAGCUUUUUUAGUGGACGUUAGGUUGAACCUGCAUGAUGUAUCAACUAACUCCCACGUUGAAAUGGGAAUGCGUCUCUUGUUUUAGUUGCUGGGUUGCUGUUCGUCUCUGUAUAAUAUAGAUUAUAUGUAUCUUUAUUUUUUUAUUUUUCAUCAUGCACUUCACAAGAGUAUUCUCAUGGAAGCAAGCUUGUUGCUGGUGCAUGAUGUUCACAUUUUUCAACAGGCGAAUCACCUUCUUCUUCAGCUUCAGAUGUCGAUAAUUUGAACAACCACGGUACUCUUGAUAAGGCAACAUUAACAAAGGGUCUACGGUCGCCGCAGAGCAUCAGUAACCAUGUUCUUACUACACGCAAUCGAUCAAAUUUUGUUCGGCUUCUAAAUUUUGUAAGUUUUUUGUUUUUCCUACAUCUUUUUCUGCCAGCCUGUGAUUGUUAGCUCUAGUUAAUGUCUCUUUUUGUUAGCUCAACAAGGGCCACACUACUUGGUUCAAGAAACUUCUUGCUAUUUUAGAGUCCUUGCAUCCUGUGGAAUAUAUCUUAAUAUCGAUUAAUGGACUACUGGUUGUAGAUUUUUAUGAUAUCUUCUUUCUCACCUUCGUUUUGUUCACAGGCACAAGAUGUUAAUUAUGCAAUGGAGGCCUCAAGGAAAUCUCACAACGCAUUUACACAUGCUAGUGCUAAUCCAGAAGAAUCUUACUAUGGGCCUGAUGGCAUCACUUCUGUGAAAAGAGUUCUUGAUUUCAGCUUCCAGGACGUUGAAGGGUUGCUGCAUCUUGUACGGCUGUCCAUGGAUGCUAUUAGCGAACCUUGCAAAUCUGGAGAGAAUGCAGUCCCUGUAAAUAGAUGAUGUUUGGCUGCUCUCUCCCAUCCGUGGAGUACAGAAUGAGGUAGUCCAGAGGAAUCUGAGCUGCCUCAGCUUCUUAUGCCGUGAUGCCGGUUCUCUUUCUUUUAGGAGGCUGAUCACCAUUUUUCCUGUAUAGUCUGUACAGGGUGAUUGGGUUGACAUUUUUUUUAUUCUUUUGGCCGCUGGCAGUUUUAGAUGUGCAUGAAUGCUCAGCAUUGAUGCAUCGAUGAGGGCUCAUUAUUGAUGCACAGAUCGAGCAAUCUUGACAGAUUCUGCGAGUAGUGAUUAGUUUAUCACUUGGAUUCCUGUUUGUCAUUUGUACAGAAAUGGGCGAAGCAUCUUUCAGAGUUGUGAGUUCUUUUGGCGGCCAUUGACCUUGCGGUGAGCUAUCUGAAGCUAAAGCUUAGAUUGCCUCCAUUUUCCUUUUCAUAUUUGCUUAAAACGUCUAGUGAAUAUCUCGUCUAGAUCGUCUGCGAUUUGACCCACAUCAUUUAAAUAUGUACUAAGAUUGAUUUACCUUCAUUUCAUUUGUGCUGUGCUGUAGGUUCUACGUGAUUCGAUCUCACAGAGGCCUGAAGAUGAGCCUUUUCACCAUGUGGUGACUUUUGACCUGAGAAGCUAAUCCAAAUGCAUGCGGGAUCUUUUAAACAAAGUUUAUCUUGUAGAUGAUGGCGGGGUUGAACGAGCUCCGAGCAUAAAGUGAAUGUCUGAAUUUUUUUUUUCAGCUUUCAUGGUGAAAUAAUCCAAUAAGGUUAGCUCGGUAAUAGAUCCUGUUUAUUCUUUUUACUGGAAUCUAAACGGUAAAAGCCCUGCCCUGGCUGGAUUCCUUUCCUCAUUUAACAUGGGAGCAAAAUUACUGUACAUCUCCUUGUUCCCUCAUAUAAAUUUAUACAAAAUCGGAUUUAUUUUGAGAAUUCUGCUGUGACUGAACCUCUUCCCCUCGGUUUUCCUCGUUGGAGGGAAAUCUGUCGGAUGAAAGCUGGUGUUUGUGGAUGAACUUGAUAUUGGUUUCUUGGAGUUCUAACACUCACACUUAUCUGUGGGCAAGUCUGUGCUUCUCUUUGGAUCUAGUUCUUUUUACUCGGCAUGGGCAACCAAUAUAGAACCAGUUAUCUAAUUCCCAUGGUGUUCAUGAAUUUGAAGGCUCUGGUUCUGCCCAGGACAGCAGAGAAAUUUUUCUAGAAGUGGGUGAGCAUUUUCCAUUUCUAAGCGAGGGUAUCUCUCUUAUUGCAUGCCAUUGACUGAUCUGAUCUGUUCUUGCUGGUGGCUGACUUGGUGAGCUACAGAAACAGGGGAGGGGUUAAGAACUUUCAUUUUUUUUCUUGGCAUUGUUCGCAAGGUUUGGUCCCAGGGCUGGGAUGAUGAAGAAAGGCCUGGAAGAUGGGAGCCACCUGCUUGGACUCAUGAAGUCCAUUCUUGGGCCAGGCUUGCCUUCCAUUUGAGCCAAGAGAGAGGGAGAUAGAUCAGAAAAUGAUGCCUCUGAUUACAUCUUACCCAGGUCAUACAUGAAAGUUAGCUUUAGAAGAUUCAAAGAGCAUCAGUAGGCUGACCUGCAGAAGGAAGAGUGACUUGUUCAAGUGAAGAUGGAGGCCUUCUGGAGAUAAUUAAAACGAUUGGAAGAGCCAUCUGACAACAUAUUUAUACGGCCUUUGCCACCCUGUAACAUCUAAUCACAACAUGAUCUCCUGGUGGUUCCCUGGCGGAGAUGGCAUCAGUUGAAGGGCCCGUUGAUAAUCAGUGUGCAUUAAGCCACAUUAUGGCGUGUAUGAGAGGAAAAUGUUCUCACUUAUCAAUGUGCAUGUACCCAAAUCGGCAAGACAAGAAUAAUCAGAAGAAAAAACAGAUUUAUUUAUAUGUUUUGAUAAUAUACGAACCAGCUCGUAUAUGGGAUAUGGUUCUGGACUUGUUGGGUUUGAUUAAGUGCUUAUGAAAAAUUUUGAAACAAAUAUAGUGCAACUUGCUGGUAUGGGUACUAUGAAUUUUGUGUUGAUUGCAUUUGGAAUCAUGGACGUAGGUUCAAAACCUUGUUAAUUAAAAUUAGGUUUCAUAACUAAUCAAAUAAAAUCAAACAAUCUCCCUGUGAUAGAUAUCAAUUAGAUUCAAUCUAAAACAAAAACUAGAGUCUGCCCAUGAUCAAAGUCCAAAAUUUUAAGCUUUAAUAUACUGAUGAGCAGUUCUCUUUACUUGAGUACUAAGGACGUUCUGAACAUUUUUGAUAACUGAGUAUUGUCUUAUACUUGUACUCAAUAAAGGCAGUUUUGAUGCUGAAAAUGAAGGCUUUUCCAGGGCAUACAUAAAUCGUCUGUAAAUCCUUUACAAUUGAAAUCAACGUCAUAUAAAAUUAGAAGCUCUAGAUUGUUUAGAAACUGGCUAGGUGAUGUUUUUUGAUGAAAGGAGACGGCAACUAUAAUAUUAUUUUUCCAAUGCAUACGUAAAAUCAUUUGUAGAUCCUUCUUAAUUGAAAUCAAUAUCAUAUAAAGUAGAAGUGAUAUGUUGUUUAGAGAUUGGCUAGGUGCUGUUUUUUUAUGAAAGGAGAAGACAAUUCUUCUUGUACUAUUUUCUAUUGCAUACAUAAAAUCAUCUAUAAAUCCUUCAUUAUUAGAAUCUACAUCAUAUACUAGCAAAAGCUAUAUAUUUUUUAGAGAGGUACUGUUGUUCUAUGAAAGGAGAAUCUCCAUGGGGUACUUAAAUCAUCUUUAAAUCUUUAUAGUUGACAUCAUAUAUUAAUGGAAAUUAUAGAUUCUUUAUCAUUUGUCUAGGUGUUGUUUCUUUGAUAAAAGCAAAUUGAUGACACUAAUUUUCAUUGGCCUGAGAAAAAUAACUUUUUCCCAUAUACAGAAGCAGAAUUUUGCCAUUGAUAACACCAACCCAGCAUCCCAUUCAAGGAUUGAAAAUACAUAAAUACAUGGAGAGAUGAAUGUUGUCGUAGUCGCUUCUAAUAAUUCGAGUUUUAACUGAUAUUUUCUUUCAAAAAUUUAUUGGGCCUAUAGAUAAAAACGGAUUAUUUUUUUUUAGAUGGAUGGACUUUUGUCUAGAAUAAUUCUAUUAAAUCAUAUAUGAGUGAGUCAAUAUGUUUAUCAUUUAUUUAUAUAACAUUUAUCAAACUAGCCAUAUUUUCAAUUGAUGUAGAACGAUCUUUGACAUCUAAAGAUAAAAGCUGGAUAUUUGCAAAUAAAAAAAGUAAAGUUCAUGGUUGUAUUUUUUUAUCAAAUUUGGUCUAAAUAAAUGAUAAUCGAAAUAUAAGAUGAAAAACAUUAACUAAAACACAAAGUCUUUAUGAUUAUUUAAUAAAUUUAAUAUAUAUAUAUGGCACUUGGUAGAGAAAUUACAUGUAGAGUAUUGUAUUAGUCAAUUGAAUAAGUACAUUGAACCAUUAAGGAUGCUUGAAAAAGUAUGAGUAUUUGGCUACUAGUAUCUCUUUGCUUUAAGAAAAGGAUUUUACUAGCAUUAAAAGUGUAAUGUCUUACAUUAUCACAAUAGAAGGGUAGUUUGGGUAUUUUGGAAAUUAUUUCUAGGGUUUGUCAAUAUUCAAGGGACUUGAUAUGUGAGAAGAGAUUUGAGGUGUCUUUUCAGAUAGAGGAUCCAUCUCUCCAUUUUCUUGUGUUUUUUUCUAUAUGGUAUCAGAGCCCAUGUAAACAUUUGCAUAAUUGACACCACCAUCAAUUUACUAUCAUACUUUUCUUGUGUAUGUUUUCUAAAUAAGAUAUUUAUAAAGUGGAGGUUAGUAUUUGUUAUCCAUCUUUAAGCUUUUAAGUUCAUGAAAAGGGAAGUGGGAUGCUAAACUUGUAAGAUCAUUUCAUUGUCUACUCCUCUAUUUAAGUAUUUUUUGUCUUUUUAUGGAACUAGAGCCAUUAAUCUAGAGUAGAUCAUUUGGGCGCUAAUCUUAUUGGCUCAUUAGAAUCGUGAAUCCUGGUCAAUUAGUAUUGUAAAAGCUAGUAUGAGGGUAUGUAACAAAAAGAUUUCAUAUAACUUAAUGGUAUGCUCCUUUUAGAUAUAGCAUAAAUCAUAUAGGCUGAACCACCACAAUUAUUCAUUUUGCACAUUAAUAGGAAAUCACAAUUUAGAAAGUGAUUAGAAAAAAACCAAUUCAUCCUUUGUUCCCCACCUUUUUAUUCCUUAUAUAACCUCCUUCAAAUCAACAUGUUGAGCCAAGUAUUCUUCGUAUACAUAUUUUAGUUUCAUAGCUCUAGGGAUGAAAUCAGAUUAAUUCCCAACUAAUCUCCUUUAGAUUAAUGGCCAUAAGUUGACCAAUGUGCAAAAGUACACAAAUACUGGAAAUUCAAGAAUAAUGCUCUUAUAAUGUGCAUUGCUUCCUUUGGCAUGAAUAUAUGGGCUUAGCGGUGAACGAGAUUACUAGACAAGGAGUUGCUUAAAUGUUUCAACAACAUGUGAAAGUGUGAUUUCCAAAUGGAUUUCUCUUAGGUGCUGGAGAUUUAACCCUUAUACAGGAUAAGUUUCUUGUCAAAAUUUUGGACUUUUAGUGGUUAAAAAUGAUAAAAAAUGGUAAGACCAAUGGGACAUCUCCCAAUUCCAACAUCUAAUUGCUGUAGUAUAGUAGUUUGGCUUGGUUAGGUUUUUCUAUGUAGAGCCACACGCCCAGCAGCCGUCUUAUGAAUCCGGUCAUCUCACUACUUUCAAGUGUAAAAUGUAAAUCAUACAAAUAAUAAUAAGCACUGAAAAUUUAAAUGACUUUUCUAAAUGUUAGCAUAUAAUAUCGAGAAUAUACAUUACGGUUAAUUUUGAUGUACAGAUACUUUCAUAGUAUAAAGCUAUCAUUUUAACCUCUAAUACACUUUACUGUUAAUGUUGCUGAGGCUACUUCUCAAUAAUCAAGUUUACCCACUUUGAGUGACAAUGAUAGGAACCAAGAUUGAAUAUUAAAAGAUGUGUUGCGGGGAAUGCUCUAGUGUGGACAGCUAAAGAGAAUCCAAAUCUUUUCUCAGAUAUCUAACCUUAAUUGGUGCUGCUAUAUCAGUCAACAGGCACCGAGGUGACCAAAUAUAGGCUGCAUGGACCCUACCCAGUCAAAGAGAUGACUUCACCUAAAGCUCAUACGUAAUUGUUUUAUGAAGAGAAUGCAAUUAAUGGGGUGGGGGAGAAAUAUAAAUGUCUAAUCAAAGGGAGCAUAUCAGCGUGCAUCCCUAUGACAGACAGAUUCAACUCAUAUUUCAACACAGAACCAUAGAAAAGUAAGUUAUAUAUACUGAGAAUUCAUACUCCCUUUGAAUUCAUGGGGGGGGUAAGUCAUAUAUAUAUAAAUAUAUAUAUAUAUAUAUAUAUAUAUAUAUAUAUAUCUACACCAUUGUAGAGAGUAUAGGGCUUUGCCUCAUUCAGGACAACAAUCAUGUUCAGUACUGAGAUACAUGAACCUUGACAUUACCAAGGCCAUCAGAGUCUAGAGAGGAUCCAACCUCAGGGUGAGAAUUCAGGUGGGAGAAUCCGAGUUUACACCCACUCACAGAGGGUAUGAAACAUAUUUAUUAUUCAAUUCAUCAAAUCGGGUGUGCCAACAUGAGAAUAUAUAUUCACAAUAUAGCGCAGAUGGCCUCCGGGAGGGAGAGCUGCAUGGCCUGGUGUUUCAGGGGAGAAUUUACAAAAGGAGAGCACUAGAACAAGAACCUGGCAGCGGGUCUCGUGCGCAAUUACCUUCUGUGGCGGCGGGCAGAGGAAUCAGGCCAGGUAUCUAAAUGUGUUGGGGUUGUCCUUGUCCCUCUCCAGAUAGUCUCUGGUGAUCAGGUCCUCAAUGCGCUUCUUGAUGGCCUUAAAGUCGGGCUGCAUGAUUGGACACCGUUGAAAGAAAGCAGUGAGGGUAAAUAAGAUUGCUAUUUCAUGAACUGGGAAGAAAUGGAUAAAUAUAUUAUGUGGGCAAGAAACGUUGGCAAGGAAGUCUUCUUUAAUUCAUCUCCAAGCAAAUCACCCCAAAAAAAAAAGAAAAAGAGGCUGGCAGUAGAAGCUACAGACGUCCCUAAAACUCAAAUUAGAGUCUUAGGGAAGAAAAGCUAUCAAGUACAAAAAGAAUACGCAGUGUUGUUUUAAACCAUGGUAAUGAGCCAAGAAAGAUGGGGGGAGAAAUAAGGAGAAGACUCUCAGGGCCUCUGUCCCUGAUUUGGUACAACCUAAACCAAUCUACUUGCCUAGCCAGAACCACACAUAAAAAGGAUGCCCUUCACCGGAUACAAAAAUGGAUGCCGGAGGAAUGCAUGUGAUUAUUACCUUGAACAUGCGGCCAAGCUGCUCAACACAUUCGGUCACUAACUGAUGGUGGCCCAAGACUUUACGGCUUUUCAUGAUUCUCACGAUGGAGGCAUCGAUGGCAUACCGCCUGUCCUUGUCAACGUCUUCAAUAACCUUCUUCUUUUCAUCCACGGGGGGCGGAGGAAUCUGCAGGGGACGCUUCAACUCCAAUCAAAAUAGCCCAUAUGAGAACCCACGAAGGAAGAGGAGAAGCAGCAGGGAGUAGGCAAGUUCCCACCUUAACCCUCUUCAUUUUGUCUGUGAACUCCGAAUUAAACUCGAACGUGUCAGUCGGGCUGAUUGUUUUGUUGUUCGGUUCUUUAUUGAGAAUCUUGUAUUUGGAGCAGGAAAGAGAAUGGAGCAGUCGGACUACAUCUUCAUCAGUCAGGUUUAAUUGACUCAUAAUCUCAGAGUAACUCAACCUAUCUGAUGCAUUAAAAAGCAACAGGGCGGAGGCCUGGACACAGAGAAAAGUCUUAGAACCAUCAGAGCAUAGCAUCCCUGAUAAUCUUCACCCAGAAACCUUGACAGCAACUCCCGAGAAGUAGAGCAAAGGUAACAAAAACUACCUGAUAUGUCGUGGCGAUCAACUCGAUGGUCUUGGGUUCAAAUUUGCCAUUGAUAUUGCAAGUACCCAGGGAGUAUAUCCAUGUCAAUUUUCUAUGUUUCGUUUUUGUCUGAUAGAACUCCUUGAAGACCUCAACACAAUUCACCUGAAAAAAAUUUUCCCGUGAACUUCAAAAGCAUGAGAAAAAUACAAAAUAAAUGCAUAUAUCAUUAACUAUAAGGAUAAAUCAACUAGAAAAAGAGUUUUCACCAUCUCGGCAGGGAGAUUAAGAUCAAAGGACUUAUAGCUUGGCCAGAAUCCAGUGGUCAGCACAUUGACGGCUAAAUCAAUUCCAGGAUUUACUUGUGGAUUACUGCUAAGGUAUUCCUCGAAUUGUGCCUGAUUUUCCCUUGCCAAAGUCAAAUCAGUCACCUAUGAACAUAAGAAAAAUAUCAAAUCAGAAGAUGCAUAAGCGUCCAUGACCAUCAGGAAAAUAUCACCAGAUCCAAGUCAGCCAAGGCUUGUAUGAAAAUACCAUGCCCUCCAUCUUGGAGGUGAAUUGCCCACCACACUGUUGCUUGAGCUUCAUCAAAAUACAUCUCUCGUGGUCAUCACUGGCACUCUUCUCAAAAAGAAGCCUCCGAGCAAGCUUUUUUCUAAAGAACCAUCACACGAUAGAUUUAUCACGUAUAAAGAGAAACCAGAAAUUAAAACUGUUCCUCAUGACAAAAAGAUAUUCACCUGUAGAAUUCAGCGAAAAGAUCUUUGUCACUGAUAUAUGCUAACAACUUUACUACCUGUAUAUGAAAAGAAAAGGAGAAGGUUUGGUCAAAUACCAAACUCGUUGGGCUUGGGGACACUACUUCGCUAUAGCACAAACGAUCAAUCUUGUUUAUAUUUAAUAUGUCUGAUUUCAUACCUUUCUUCAUUUCAUCCAUUACAGUACUCAAUUAGUAUGCUCAUUAUAGUGUACUCAAAGUACUAAAGCCACAGAAAUUAUGGGAAUAUGAGCAAUGUGCUCAUGUUCUUCUUCUUUGCUAGUACUGAUGCCAUCUCAUACAUAUCCUGUGAUCCCCAAUCUAGAUAUUAGGUAUACAAUCUCUUCUUCUCCCACACAUCCACUAAGGAAACUAUUAUUUACCCUGAUUAUCUAUGGCAAGAUGAGAACUUGAAAAAAUAGGUAAAUACCUAAGAAAAGGGCCAUAAGAAACCUACAACUUGAAAGAAUGAACAAAAUACGAUGAACACAAGAAACCUUUUCAAGUGUUUCCUCAAUUGCUUCGUCGCUCAUUUUCUCCUUUACACGCUUUUUAAGAAUACUAUCACAAAAAGUCGCCAGGAGCUCAGCACUUGAGCUACCAGACACUCCCUUGUUGCAGGAGACUUCAAAAGCCUCUUUGAGUGCCUUCAAAGGUAACGAAGACCAUAUUAAAAAAAAUAUAAUAAUAACUUCAAAGUAAGGGAUUAAAACAGCUCAGCACUAACCUUGUGGAAGAGAGAGUGAUUUUGAAAGCAGUCAUUAACAUACGCUAAGUACUUAUCGUGAAGCUCAAUCACUUUUCUGACAAAAACCUGAAUCAGGAACAAUUAAUCAAUGAAAAGGACCAUCAAAGCAUAUGUAAAUCUAAACUCCACGACUUACCUGCUCAUACAAGCCUACAGCAUCCCUUUUCUCCACCUAUGAAUAAGACAAGGUUAUAGCUCAAUACAGAUACAUGGCACAAAGCUGCUUUAAAGAUGCAUAUGAACGUACAGACAAGAGUUCUGAGAAGAUGUUAGACCACUGGGCCUAAGGGUUGCUACAGAAGACUACAAAACAAGAACACAAUGCACAAGCAGUCGCAAUAAGUACACUGUCAAUCACAAUAAAUGACUAUGGUGCCGCAGUCUUUUACGUAGUUGCCAAGCAGCACCAAUUAACCAUCAUCAAUACGAAACAUGAUGAUGGCUAUCCCUUUCCCCACAUUCUUAAAGGUUAAAACAUAGUAGCAUAAAUUUGGAGAUAAGACAUGAAGAAAAUGACUUAGUUCAAAACAGUUCCGAUUCUUUAGUAUCUACCCAAGUUCAAAUUAUUCAACGGGCAUUAAGUGGGUGGGGAUUUACAGCGGUCACUUUCUUGAUCUGAACAAAAGGAGCCAGAAUAACUGCUCAGGGGAUCCCCUUUAAACUUAUUACCAAUAUAUGUAAAGAGGAACCAUAAAUUACUGAACCUCAAGAUACCACGUAACAACUAAUCAAAAACCACUGUCCAAUCUAAUCCACUCGUUUUCCGUUACACAAUUCCCCUCACAGGACCAGCUCAUCGUAUCUGCCGGGGCACCUCAAGUUUUGGAAAGGCCCCAUUAAAAUCAAAGUUUGGAGCAUAGUGGCCCUUUCCAACAUGAACUAAAUCCUUCAUUUUCCAGUAAAGAUAUAGUUCCAGUAAAGAAAUAAGUAAUGCUCCACAGCUUUUGGUACCACAACUUGCAAAAAAGCAAUGUAUGACCUGCUUUGGUGAGGCAAAAUUUAUCAUAAGUUAAAGGUUAGUCAAGAGCAUUAUUUUGAAAUAACCUUCCAAGGCAUUCACAUUUUAUAAAUAAUACUAUACCUGAUCUCCGUUUAGGAAUUUUAUCAAGAGAACCCCCCUAAGCAGGCUAUCCCAAUUCAGCUUGAAAGAGAGAUCGUCUAAAGAAAAAAAUGCCCUUUAUUAUCAUUCAAAAGACGAUUGCAUAAAUACUAAUCAUGAAUAGAGCCAUCAUUUAACACAAUCUAUGCAUGCUAUGAAAUGAAAAAAGAAAUAAUACUCAGGUAAUAGACGACUUUUUGACGAGAAAUGUCAUCAUGGCAGCAAUGAAUGUAAUAUUCAAAUUCUCUGGUACAAUUGAAGCCUAAAUAUUAACUGGCACUGCAAUGAAAAAAGAUCAAUCUCAAACACUGCAGAAUCAUCUUUUUUUGCUGAUUGAUAAACUACAAAUGGGUUCCCAAAUGGAAUUCUUUUCUUGGGAGAGGUGCCUGUACUAAACCUAUGUUCAUCGGUUAUACUUUAAUCGAAACUUUAUACCCAACUAAAAAUUUUAGAAACCAGGCACUUUUUGCAGCGGUUUUAUGAUUGUUAGAACUAAAUAGUCUGGGUUAUUCAUAUUUGUCCAUGAUAACCCAGCCAUCUGAGUUUGAGAAACUCGGAUGGCUGUGCAAGUCAUGUGAGGCCUGAUUGGGGAUAUACUAAGAUAAAGUCUUCUAACAUAUUUGGCCACAAGGUCGAAUGGUAGGUCCCCAUCCCGACUUCGAAAAUAAAAGUCGUAUAAAAUAUCGAAGGGUAUCAUUAGUAUCAAAGUCGUAUAAAAUAGAAUCCAGAACCAAAGCUAGAUUAACCAAGUAAACCCCCAAACUGGCUAUCAAACCACCAUUGGAUGUACAGACCAAGUCACUAAUAAUUCCCGCAUCCUAAGUAGUAAUUUACUUGGAAAUGAUAUGCACAUACUUUGUUACUUGCUGAAUCUUCUGCAUGUUUGACCAAUGCCAUACCUUCACGAGUGACAUGCUGCAUCGUUAACCAUCAAAAAAAUGAAAUCACAACAUUAUUGAUUGAAUACGUUUACGAGAUUCAAGUGCCACUAAAACACUGCUAGGAAUAGAGCAGCUUCAUACUUGUUUAAAAAUUUGAGAAACAGGGUCCAAGCCACGAGGUAUUCGGCAAAAUAACCUGAACAUCCGAGAAAGAUCAUCCACCUGAAAAAACACGUCAAGAAAAAGGAAUUACCGGCAUGGGACAUGGAUAUCUUUUCAGAUACAAUGAUCUAGAAACAUGAUGAACAUCAAUUGGGUACACUUAACAGUACCUUAUCAUCUCUCAGCAAAGCAUGGCAUCCCGAAUUUUCCUUUUCAAGCAGCUGGCUAGCAUUCACAAAAAGUAGUUCGUGCUGUACUCUCUGAAAAGAUAACAAAAUCCAAAGAGCAUUAUUGCAUAGGAAGCUCCAAGGCCAGUAUAAAUUAAGAAUUAAGAGGAACGCUUGAACCUCAGAUACUAAAGAGAAAAGGAGAAAAUAAAACAGUUCAAAAAAAAAAAGGGGGGGCACGAAAAGGACCUCCAACAGCUUCUGCUCGCUACUAGAGUGCAGGUAAUGAGAAACCCUAUCUUUCUCCCUUUUCAAGCAUUCCUCGGCCUGAUGUAGAUAUACAACCAACAUAUGAGAGUGCACGAAACAAUAUAUACAACCAAAAGAAAAAUGAAAGGAGUAUACCUUUAGCAUGUACUCUGGACAGGAAUCCUCUGUAAUCCAUCUUGUCGCUUUUCUUGAAUAAUAAGAAGCAGUAUCGUCAAGCAUUGCAGCUUCAAAGUCAUUUUCAUAACACUCCAUUUGUCCCAAUCCGAUUUCAACAAAUAUAUCCAGCACAUUCUUCAAUAAAGCACGAUCAAUUUGCUCACCCUCACGUUCUCGGUCAAUCUGAUUCAGAAAUCAGUGUAAAAACAAAUACAACCAGGUUGCUAAAACAUAGAAGAUUUUUCAAAGCAUACCAAUGAUAUUACAGCAUCUGUAGCUUUCCCCUUCAUUUCGUGGUAUAUCUGAAAGUGUUCAAGAACGUAUAAAUUUUACAAAGUAAGAGAAAAGGCUUAAACAAAGAACCAAGUGUGAGAAAAGCACAUCAUUUUUAAAAGAUGAAAAACAUUGACAUACCAAGUCACGGAAGCACGUGAGCCCAACUUCAUUGAGAGGCGGAAGUGAUCUUCGAACUAUAAAGUAGCGAUCUAGAUAAUAGAAGAACCGAGAAAGCCAUCUGACCAUGACUUUAUGAUUUUCCCACCUUUUCACAAGUUCUCUCAGCAUGAACUCAUCAUGCUUCUCUCUUAGUGAUGGCAUCACCUGAAGAGUCAGAGAGUCUUUUAAAGCUUUCUCAAGUAUGGUAACGGAUUGAGAAUUAAAGAAAAAAAAGCUACGAAUGAUACUAGAGAGCAAAAGACAGGCAGUAGUAGUUUCAGGAAGGUCACUGGGUAAAGUAUUCAUCCCAACAAAUUUUCACUAGUCUUUGACUUUCAUCUCUGAAUUUUAACAAUAUGCAAAACAAUCCAUAAUGCUUGGUAUCAUUUAGAAUAAAAAUGACAGACUUGUUUUCUUUCUGGUAUCCGAAAGCAGUAACCGAUCAUGUGAUUCUGACCAAACCCCAAUCACAGUGAUAUUUUUACGAGACAUUAUCAAAUACCCUGUCUCUAGGAAAGCCGCUGCUAACUCGAGUCAGGCUACCUGGAUAUGUUUCACGAAAUGAUAAUGCAAUAUUUUCAACCGAUUGUCUUAUAAUUCAAUAAAUUACCUGAUUAUUGUGAUCCAGAUAAAGAAGGAAUCAUACUCCCAAUAAAAAUAAAAAGGCCAAAGCCAACAAACGAAGAUCAAUUUAAGUCGCCUCAUGCACCAAAAGAGAGAAGCUAUCCUCAUCAUCACUGGAUAUAAACAACAAAACACAAUUUGAAAGAUUUCACAGAUGCAAAUGCAUCAGACCACGAUAAUUGAAGACCAAUCUGCAACUGCAGAAAAAGGUACAUGUAGUUCGAUGGAAGAGGAAUACAACGUCCAUGGUCCCUUCUUACCGUUGACGUGAUGUAUUCUUCAAAUGCCUCGCGGUACUUGUCAUAGAGCUGUUGUGAAUAGUCGUGAGGUGGUUUCUGAGUGCACAUGUUGUAUAUUGUCCUGAGGAAAAUGAAAAAUUAUAUCAGCCAAAGCACCAAAAAUAGACGCAAAAAAAAAACAAGGAAAGAAAAACCAGGGGAAAUGCCCCUACGUGUAGAGCAUAAUGCGGUCCUCUGGACCGAACUGGGUCUCGGGGCGCCCCUCUAAUAUGUUCUUCAACUUCGUGAUGCCUUUCUGCAUGAACGCCCAUCCCUGCUCCAAGUCUAUCGUCUUUCUCUCGUUCAGAGCCAUCCUUGCCCUUUAAGUCCUCUCAAACCCCCUAGAAAUUCCUUCAAAGCGUGAAAACAGAAACAACUUGGCAGAUCCUAAACCACACUCUGUUAACCCUAAUCGUCGCCAAAUUCUCUCUAUAAAAAAUCAGGUGCACCAGAAUAGGCAUCCCCAACAUGAAAACCAUUCUUUACGCCGGACUGAAAAGUGGAAACCGCACGAUUUUCCGCACAGAAGCUUCAACGCGCUGAACCCAGUAAAAACCAUAAAGCGCGGAAGAUGAAAAAAAUGGCCGGAGAUUUUUCAAGAUCAUAUUCAACAUUUGCACCGGAAUCUGAGAGAUGCCCGAAAAUCCGCCAGAUUAAAACGGGAAAAAUAAGUCGACCCGGAACGACCGCAAUCACAUUACGGCCCGAGCUCACGGCGUGGAAAGAAACGAAAAGAGACAGGAGAACACAAAGGGGGGGGGGUGCAAGGAAGAACAAUCCACGCCAAGAGGCAAGCAGAGAAGCGGGGAAAUUCUACGGCAACAGAGAAACGGAAGAGCCCCAAGAAAGAUGGAAGCCAAGGCUCGGUACCUGAUCAGAGCUCGCGAGCCCCCGUCUACAUGGAGAGCACCAAAGGAAAAGCAGAAGGGGGCCUCAACAUACCCUCAGCAGACGGGGAGCUGAGAAGGGAGACGACGCCAGCGGUUUCGAAAAUACCCCCAAUAUUUAAUUUAUUUAUAAAAUAACCAUCACAUACUAUAAUAAUAGUGGUUUUAUCCAUCAUGCUAAGUCAUUAUUAUGGUACUAAGUCAUUUUAUAAGUGAAUGUUUUUCAAAACAUAAGCAAUAUAAUGGGAACGUCAACAACCACCACAUUGCAAGAAUCAUCAACUUAGUGUAUUUUAAUUCUCACAAGAACUUUAUAAAUACAAUUUCUUUAAUGAAACGUCAUCAAUUCAUUAGGCCAUCAUCUUAAGAAGUAAAAUUCCUGUUCAAAAUUAUGCAAAAAGAGUCAAUACUUAGAACUAUCGAAAAGAGUCAGCCCAUGUUUGGUAGAUCUACAAAGUUGCAUGAUAUUAUUAAACUACAAUCUCAUAGAUGAUAUGUCACAUCCAAGUUGAAAGAAAAUUUGAAAAACAUACUUUCCUAGGAGUACAUUUAAAUCAAAUUCCUCUUGUUUGAUGAAGAAAAGAGUCCACCUACAAGUUAGCUAAGGUAAUUUAUGCAAUGAGAUAAAAAUCUCAAGCAUAGAAAGAUCUUUAAAUCUCAUUUCCCCUUAGUUAUUCCAUUGGCCUUCUGCGGGUUACUUGAGUGAUCUGUAGCUUAUGCUUCAUCACUAUCAAAAAAUUUAUGUAGAUUCUGGUAAGUGUUCUAAGGAUCAAGAAUUGACUUAUAAAGAUUCAAUCAUAAAUGUGCAUAAACCAAUUGAGGAUUAGCCAAGGGAUCACUAUAGAGUGAAAUCAAAUCGUAAUACAUUUUCUAGUCUCUGUUGAAACUCUCUUAUAUUAUAUACCUUUUAUAAUAUUUGAUUAUAUACACAUUGAUGAACUAUGCCCUACACUUUUAUCCAUUUUAAUAAUAUAAAAUUGAAGAAAUAAUGAGGAAUCGACUCAUAAUAAAUGAGUUGAUCUAGAUAUACUUUUUAUACCGCAUUAAAUGACUAAACAUGAGCUGAUACUAGGCAAAUAUCUAAAUGACACACUUCUCAAUGAAGAUAGCGAAUGGCACACUUGAUUCUUGACAUCUACUGAAUUCCAUUUUUUCUUAAGUUAUGUAAUCAUGUUUUUCCACCAUAAACUCCUUGUAAGAAAUAGACUCACUACUUUUGGGGUUUGACUUUCGUGGGUUCUCAUAGCAAUCCUAGGUAGCAUUUUCUGCUUUGUUAGGACCAAAUCUCUCAUUUAUAAAUAUGGGUUUUCAUGUAAAAUAUUAUAAAAAUAGCAUUAAGGGAAUUGUUUUUCUAUUUCAACUUUGAUGAAAAUGAUUGAGAAAUAAGGUCAACCAAAUCACUCAAUAUGAAGAUUGUGACAACAUGAAAAUAAAAAUAGCAAUAAGUUUAUAAUUAUUUUUGUUCAUUACCAUCAUAAUUUUUUUAUGGUUGUGAACCAUUCAUAUAUAAGAUAUUUGACUUCCUACACUAAGUUAUAUUAGAGCUUUAAUAGAUAUUGUGCUUCAAUACUAUGUUAUUUUAGAGUAUAAUUCUCAUGUUCUUAAAUUUAGAGUUAGAUAUAACACUAUUGCCAAAUCACUCUUGAAUUAAUUACUUGUAUUUCACAACAUAAUUUUCUGAAAUUAAGAUCUUAUGUUGCUUGCAUAUUAUUACGUUAUAAUAAAAAUCAUCAUGAAGUAACAUUUAAAGCUCUAUAACUUAUGAUGUUUUGCAACAUAACUCUUCAUAUAUUAACUAUUACUGCUAAUUUGAUUUGAUGUUUAAGAAUGUAACUCAUCAUUUCAUGCAAUGUUCUGGCCUAUUAUGUGCUAUACUAUUUUAUAACAUAAAAUAUACAAUAAAAUAUUCACUUCAACAUACUUUUUACUCAUUUUAGAUGCUAAAAAUGUUUCAAUGCAAUAUGCUAUUUUACAUCAUGAAAUAUUGCCAUUAACAUACUAUGUUCUUUCACAAUGCAAACAUUUCACAUACUAAAAGACUAUUCCCUUGUACUCUUUUAGAACAUAAAAUAAUUUUUUUCUCAUUGCACACUUUUUCAACUUUAAAACUUAUGUCACUUUCAGAAACUAAGAAAAUAAGUUAUGAGGAACUAUAUUGCAAACUAGUAAAGUAAAUCAAGCUUAUUUUAUUACUGAAUAACAAAAUCACAUUGUCAAAUAAUAUAGCUUAUCAAAUGUAAUAUAUCAACAUAUAAAGAACUACGUUUAGAACUAGAAAACUAUAGGAAAAUUAAUAUGUUAUCAUAAAAUGAGCUACUUUGCAAAACAACAAAAUUUAUCAAACUAAAUACUGAAGCAUAAUAUCUCAGUUCGUGAGGAUCACAUUGUAAGGCAUAAGUAAUAAAAUCAAGACUAAAAUGUAACUAACUAUGCAUAUGUAACUCAAUGUUUUACUAUGUAAGGAUGAUGCUGUUAAUUUCUUUUAUAUGAAAUACUAUAUCUUAGUACGUGGAAAUUACACAAUGAACUAAGCAUGUGAAGUUGGUUAUCUUACUACGUGGUGUUUUUCCGGCAACAUAAAAUAGCAUGAUAAUAUAUGUGCAUAUAAUUUUGAACCAUACAAUAAUCAUAUAUUAACACCAAAGAAUAUUAGCAAAAGAAUAUCAUGUUCUCACAUAGCCAAAAAACUGGCAAAAAUAGGACUAGAUUGUAGCAACAAAAACAAAAACAUUCUAUUUUAUGGGUGCAAGUUAUUUUUGGAAUGAUAAAGAAUGUUCACAAUUGGUUUUUGAAGAAUAAAUAAAUUAUGAUAAUAAGUCUAAAUAUUAGAGAAAAUAAAGGAGAAAAGGAAGAGUUGUUAAGUAAUAAAUAUGUAGACAUUAAUAUCAAAGCUUAUGAUAAAAAUCUGUUCACAAUUUCUGCACCUUGAUGAUGACAAGCAAAACUAUUGUUAGCUGAAUUUUUAUCAACAACCUUUCUAAGUGAUGAAUCAUUAAGAAUAACUUACAAUUCUAGGUCAACACAUCACACUUCAAAGGAGUUCGGGAACUAAUAGUGAAAGAUUUAAUUUGGUUCUUCAAUAAGUUUUUUUAGCCAUGGUAGUUCAAGUCUCUCUCUCUCUCUCUCUAUUAUGAAUUUGUUGCUACAUAUUUGAGUAUUUUGAGAGUUGUGAUCUAGCAUAGUGGGCUAUCAUUGAAUUGACAUCAUUCAACUGAAUAGAUGUGCAAAUCUAAAAGUGAACAAUGGAGGUGCUUGAUAAGUUAAAGCCACAAAUCAUUUAGAUAAGAGUUGAUGCAUAAGAUUAGCAUUUGUACCGCAUGUAAUGGUUGAGGAUUAAAAAAAUACUUCUAAAGAGUGGAGUAUCAUACAAGGGCCAUUGUAUGUAGUAGUUGAUAAUGAAUAACAUUAAAACUAUUGGAUCCUUUUGUUUUAAUGACAUUAAGGAUGGAGCAACAUUAUCAUUAUAUUGAUAUAUGGGAAUUUUAAAUUAAUUAAUGUGAGAUUUUAUAGAAAGGAACUUGGAGGAGUAUCUUAGUUUUUAUAAUAGCUAACUUAAUACAUCAUUAGUGCCAUCAAGUCAUUGAAGACCUAAAAUAAUGCAAUUAUUUUCUUCCCAUCAAAUGUAUAUGUAUCGCACAUCAUAGAGUAUAAUUAUUAUAAUUAAAUACAAUUAUCAUAACAUAAAAAUUAAUUUAUAUAUUUCUUCACUAAAUUAUAUAUAUUUUGUGGAGUGGAUUAUUAUUAUUAUUAUUAUUAUUAUUAUUCAGUUGAAGCUGAUUUUAGCGCAAGAAAACCAGAAAGUGGGCAAAAUUUAGGGCCAGCUUACAAGAUUAGGCUAUACUUUCGGCAUUCAUUUUAAUAUUUUUUGUUGAUUAAAAGGGGUGUUAAUGUGAAGCAGAUAUAUUAUUUGGAGCUCUGACUGAUGUGACAAGAUUGUGCACCGAUUGUGCGCCGGGAUCCGAAUCAAUUUAGGUACGAAGAAGCAGGUCACCGAAACGUGGAUCCGCUACGUUACACUACGGGAGGUGGGGGCCCCCUCCCACUGUGGCAGCUCCCUCUCUCUCUCUCUCUCUCUCUCUUCCUUCACACCAAUAUAGCACCUGGAUUUCAGAUCCCUGUGUUCUUCUCCCCUGCUCUCCUCUUCUGGGCUCUCGCUCACUCUCGGCCUCCGCGAUGGCGGUGAGGGCGAGCUCUGGGCCCGGCUACCCAGAGAAGUUCACGGCGGCCGCGGCGUACGUGGGAUUUGGAGGAUCCCAGAGUUCAUCCUCCAUCGGAGCGAUCUCCAGAUUCCCCAAUGACGUUGCCCUGUUACUUUACGGCUUGUAUCAGCAGGUACACUGCCUACGGCUUCCUUUGGUUUUACAUUUCCUCAAUCUAGCUUCUUCUUGCGCUUUCGCCGCAUUUGCGGCUUCUUGGUUUUGACGUGGUCUCGGUGUAUUCGAACCGCACCGUCGGGAUCUGAUCUUCUGGGGAUCAUGGAACGGCUGGCGGUACAAAUUUUUAGUUGUCAAAAAUUUCGUGCCUCGUUCUUGCCUGACUUGCUGAAGCAGAUCUGCUUUGAGUCGUGAUUAGUUCAUUAAUUCGGCGAACUUUGGUUCCUUUCAUUGUUCCAUUUUUAUUCAAGCAGAGGAUUUUGUUUCUGAAAACCGUUACAACCUUUCCUUCGCGCGUAAAAAUGAUCAUCAUUGUUGAAAUUCUACAAGAUUACGAAAAUAAAGCUGUUAAGGAGCUUGACUAGCUUGAAAUGCUUUGCGUCUCUUCCUAAUUGUAGGCGACUGUUGGCCCUUGUAAUGUCCCGAAACCGCGAGCCUGGAACGCUGUGGAACAUGGAAAAUGGACCAGGUUCGUCUUCAAUUUCUCCUUCCGGAGAUGACGCUAAAGCAAUGUUGUCUAUAAGUUAAUAUUUUCAAUGAUUGAAAAUCUGUACCGUAAGAUACUAUACUAUCACCACGUUUGCUAGGCUUUUAGGGGCCAAUGCUUGAAAAUCGGAACAUUGGUUGUGGUAGUAUGUGCUUAAAAUGCAUGACCUAUUGACUUGUUUUGUUCCUUUAUCCUUGCUGUCAAAUACAACCAUAUCCCUAGUCAUCAUUUAUAAAUGAGUUAAUUCAUUCAUCCCAUUGAGUGUCACAUAGCCUUCCAUUUUGGUAUAAAUUCUAACUGAGAUGCUGCACAAUUGAAUAAGGAAAAUGUAAAAUCUUUUAUUGAAUGGAGUUUCUGCAUAAUUAUUAUGUCUCUUCGUAUGUAUGUGUAAAUGUUUUAGUCAUGCCUGGAUUCUAAGGGGCUCAUUAUCCCUUCAAAUCGGAACACAUUUCUAAACACGACUAGGGGUCUCUACAGUGAAGCAUUUUCACACAGAUAUCAGCUAUUGAUCGUCAGCAAGGAAAUCACCAACAAAUAUGUACUGGGAUAUAAGUUUUUUAUUUCAUUGUUCGUAGAUGAUACCGUAGUUUCUUUUGCUUUGCUUGAAUUGCACCUGCGCUCAUACUCCAAAGGUAUAACUGUCUGAAUUUUUAUGAUGGAGAAGCAGUCUGGUAUCUUUUGUGUUGGUAUUUUUGUUUGGAAAAUAUCUAAACUUCGAGUUGGGGAAUACCGCUGGACCAUUUGAGGAUGAAAGUGCAUGAAAUCAUCUUCCCACUCCUGAUAUUUUGAGCCAGUUCGAAUGAAAUGGAAAUCAUUUACUAUUACAUGAAAAUUGUUAACUUCAGUGAAUUCUUCAGUUUUUUUAGUCAAGUUUUAAGAAUGUCUGAGAAUCCCCUUUAGUGAGGGAGGUGGUGGUUCUUGUGCCUGUUAUUACUUUUAGUCAUCACCUUAAGGCAGGUUACUGUUCUUUUGCAGGGUCUUGAUGGCUGACUUUAUCAAUACUUGCACCCCCUUUUUCUUAUUUUUUGUACUCAUUGAACAUAUGGCACCGAUAACCAUGUUGAUUGUCACAGCUCUCCAACUUAGAAAAAGAAAGUGAGGUUUUUCUAUUUUUGGAUGUUUGCCUCUGAUGACCUCGUUGAAUACUAUUAUGCGACCAGUUGAUGACUUUAACUGCAAAGAUGAAAUACCAUACUCAUACUCUUGGUGAGGCGUGGUAUUAAUCCUAGUCUCGAGACUAAAACUUUUAGAUGAUUCAUCGUGUGCCUCUAAUACAUCUAAAGCUCGCAAAACCACCGCCGAAACUCCUCUACCUCCCCAGCUUUCAACCUUGUGAAAGAAAUGAAAGUGGUCGCCUGGGGCAGAUCAAUACCAUCUGGUUAAACAUGAAUGCAUAAAAUGUUUAAGAUGUUUUGCCAGGUCAGAAAUAUUUCCUACGCAUGAGUUCCUCGUUGAGACGUUUUAAAUGCAAGAGUUGAAGGCUGAUGGGACAUGAUUUCUUUCCCAAGGAAGGACUCUAAUGAAUCUGAAUUUCUCUACAGAAUGCCUAAAGGGUUUUCGACCCUCUGACAGGAGAAUUUAGCUCUACCCUAGAGAUUGAUACACAAUUGAAAGUGGCCCUAGAGCAUCUUUACCGUACGUUCUAGAUUGAUGAUCUGGUGAUCCUAUUUUACCAUCUAUUUGUACAUGACCUCUGCUAUAAUCUGGUACACCAGUGUGGGCAUCAACAAGGGCACACGUCGGCUAUGCUGCAAUCAUUUGGCAGAAUGAUUAUGCGGAUGAAGAAAAAGCUGUACACUGCAACCACACUGAAUGUACCUAUAACCACAAUGGCUCUAUAAAAGUUUAAAUGUAAUACCUCUUAAUAUUUUGUGGUUGAUGGCAUGUUGGCUGUACCCAUGGUCUGUAGACCAGUAAUUACUUUUUUUUCUUAGAAACUAUUAACUACUAGAGAAUUACUUUCCUGAUCUUAUUGUUGAAGGGUUUAUCACUACUUUGCCCCAUUUAUAGAGACGGACCAAGAUGGCUUUCUUCAACCCAGAAUUUUUUUUCCCACCUACUCUGUACCUGUGGAUUCAGACAAUCCUUUGUUGAUUCAGGAGAUGUUUAAAGUUUUUGUUCCUGAUGGAUUUAGAGGUCAACACCUAUAUAUUCAAGAGCCCACUUUUGAAUCCUUAUGGAUUCAAGGGUCACCUAAAUUAAUCAUUGUGGGCUCAAGGAUUGUAGAUCUCGUUCAUUGCAGAUUCAGGGUACAAGUUUUUUUCUUCUCUGAAUUCCACUGCAUCAAUUUUGGUAAAAGAAUUCAAAAUGGUAUUUUUUUUGCAAAAGAAGACUGCUGGUCGUGUAUUAUUAUAGGAUAAUUGAUGUGUCAUAGAAGGUUAUUUACUGUGUAGUCAAUUUUCGUUCCAAAAUAUUGAGAUAUCACUGAACUGCUGCAAAAUUAGCAUUUUGCAGAUUCUAUAGCUCCUGUCUCUAUUGGUUGAAGAUUCUUUCAUCAACCAUCUUCUUGGUUGUUCGAAGAGAAAGAGGUAACAGAAAAAUUCGAAGGAAUCAAAAAAUAUACAAGGCAUGAUGAGCAUGGCUGUAUUAUAUAUAUCCAGUAGGUGUCCAAUGUAUUGUAUUGUAUCAAAGCAUGCCUGCGGAAGUAUAUUGAAUAGGAAAACCAUGCUUUUCUACUAUCUUUUUGAGAUGAGAGAGGAAAUUGUGGUUAUUUCUAUAUUAAUGUGUUAUUUGUGUUUCUGUUUUCUCCUCUUCUCUUUGUUUCUUAUCCACACUUUAUUUUCUGUUUGCUGUUAGGAAUUGCUAUUUCCAUGAAUCACAUCUUGUAGAACUGUUGGCCAGUUUUCAUCUUGUUUCUUUUAGACUGUGUCUGGAAUGCUAUUUAUUUUCCUGGUCUUUUGCAAACUGUUUGAGUAAUGCAUACAUUUUCCUUUUAUUUAUCAAUUUAAGAAACUUUUACAAUUUUGUUGCUCUGAGUGAAGCUGUAGCUUGAAGUAUUUUUGUAAUACUUUGUAUAUCCAUAGUAUAGUUGUUGCUUAUAGAUGAUAUAUGUUUCUGUGCUAGUUGUAACAUAUACUUUUACAAGUUCAUUUAUGACAUUAGAUCUUGUACAUAAUUUGCUAGCCUUUAAAUAAAGUUCAUUACUACAGCUGGGAUGGGCUUGGAAACUUGGCUUCAACCGAGGCUAUGCGCCUUUUUGUGAAAAUUUUAGAGGUAAGGUUAAUAAAAGCUUGGGUUUACUUAAGAUAUUACUGGAAGCACCCUCCUCAUCACAUAAAUUGUGUCUAUAGGAAGAAGAUCCUGCAUGGUAUUCAAGGACGGCCGAAUUGGUGGAGGGUCCUAUUGUAGACGUGGAAAUGAAUGUGAGUUCCUCCAAUCUUAUGGUUAAUUGGUUUCAUUGGAGGAAUUAUUUCAGUGUGAUUCCGUUUUUGUCAGUUUUUUUUUACUAUUUCUGCCAUCCACUAUAACUUUUGAGAUAAAAUUUUCAUGGUGUUAGUAUGCUGACACUGAUUAUAGAAAUGUUGCAUAGUAAAACUAGCCUUUAUUUAUUCUUUUUGUAAUUUGUACUUCCAUAAGCAGCAGCUGGAGCAAGGUGCAAUGAUGGCUUCUCUAUAAUUUAUUUGUUCCUUCAUAUAUAGCUCAUCUAAGUAGAUAUAGUGAUUAAAUGUGAUGGAAUAAAAGAUUUAUAGUAACAUGAAAAAUCCAAUAAAAAAUCCAAUCAACGGAGGGUUUUUUGGAAUAGGGAUCCUUGAUGAUCAUUUAUUUCUGGGUGAUAAAACCUAUUGCUUAGAACCCUGGCGUUAUAAAGUUCACUGUUAGAAAGCUAAAAUUUUGAAGCGAAAAUGGAUUACUUUAUUUUAAUUAAUUGAUAAUAUGAAGGCUCUGGGAAAUUAUUGGCUAAACUUGGGGAAAUGUAUGGAGCUUAUUGAAACUGCAAUCGAUUGUGAACCUACAGCAUUGCAUGAGAUUGACUAUUUAGUUUUCUGCAUUGUAAAUUUGAAAGGUAUCAUCAUUAAUCUCAAAUUCAUGAAAUUCCGUCUCCUUAAAAAAUCAUGGUUACAUCUCCUUCUCUAGUAAAAAAGUCUGUUUGAUUGUAUAGUCCUUGGCAAUGCUGGUCGUUUCAACUAUGAAGUGAAAUAUCUUAAUAGAUGGUAUGAGGGCGAGGUGGGAGUGGCUUUUCUUCUUUCAAUAAUACAUCUGAAAUGAUCGAAUGCAUACAUUUUUUUUUCCUUUUUCUCUAAUUUUCUUUCCUCACAGAAGCCAAAUCUGGACUCCGCCUCCCCAGAUAGAAGCUCUCAUCAAGAACCAGUAUCUAUAAUUGGAGAAAAUGGAAAUAUGUUGGAAACUCAAGAUAAAGAUGUCAUAACAGAGGGGCUAGCUGCAGUUAGCAUUUAUGAUCAGUGGAUUGGACCUUCUGUAUCUGGACAAUACCCAAAGCCAAGAUAUAAGGUAUUUACCAAGUUGUCUUUCUUGUUAUGCCAGAAUUUUAUCCUUCUUGUUAGUUUCUGACCCUAAGUGUUUCAAUCUUAACAGCAUGGAGCAGCGAUAGUGCAGGAUAAAAUGUAUGUUUUCGGAGGAAACCACAAUGGGCGUUACCUUAAUGAUCUUCAGGUGUGUCAUGCUGGUUGUCUAUAUCUUUGCUAAACUUUUUAGGAUAAAUGAAGAGCUAUAGUUAGAUCAGGUUGCUGGAAAUCGGACACUUGCCUGACAUUGUUUUUUUUGAUUUACUGAAGGUUCUGGACUUAAAAAGUUUGACGUGGACAAAAGUAGAAGCUAAAUCAGCUAUGGAACAAUCGAGUUUGUCUAACACAGCAGUUCCAGUUUCAUGUGCCGGUCAUUCCCUGGUAAGCAUAAAGGCUUUUCUUGACCACUUAGAUAUUCUUGAAAUCAAGCUGGGUUUACGGUACCAAUACUGGUGCUUAUAUGAUGGAGUUGAUAACUUUAUCUUUCUUUUUUAGGUGUCAUGGGAAAAUAAGAUUCUCUUGGUGGCAGGCCACUUGAAAAGUCCUUCAGAAUACGUUACAGGUGGGAAUAAUUAUAGGCAUAUAUUUUCCUUUAUGCUCCCGUGAAGUUUGUACAGAUUUAUCAAUAAGAAAAAUAAUCCUCUUCGUCUUGGUGCUUAUUUCUAAUGAUAGUGAGGGAGUUUGAUCCACAGACCCUCCAAUGGUCAACAUUGAAUACUCAGGGGAAGGCACCGGUACUUCCAUGAUCUUCUUCCUCUUCAUUAUGUAACUGAGAUUGGAUCUUAGAUAAUGGUUGCAUACUUAAUCUUUUGUUCACAACUGUUUUAUUUCUCUGGUAUUUUAGUUCAGGAGAAUGUGCAAAACGAAUGUUCUAUUGUGGCAUUUAUGUUUUGAAAUUUACAUCUAUGAACUUUUUACAAUGCUAAAUGUGCAUAUUUUGGAUGAACCCUGUGGGCAUGAAACUAGAGGAAUUUCUCAUGGUUGAUGGGCAUCGAGUCUACUCUAAGUUUAGUUGUGGGUAUCAUAGCAAAGAAAUAUUUUCACGGGUAAUUAUCAAAUAACGGAGAUGUGCGUGAUUUUCAUAGAUAUAAGUACCUUUUUAUUUGACUACCUUUGAGAACUUGAUGGACGGCCAUGUGGUGUGUUCUAUUUCACACCUUCUGCCUUCAAAAUCAUGGAUUGUUGAUGUGCUUGUAAGUCCUAUUAAUUUUGGUGCUUUACCUUUUUGAUGUGGUAUUUCUGAACUUUUUUGAGGAAUAAAAUGUUUUACUUGACAAUAACUUCUCCGACACAUGGUAGAAUUAGUGUAUUCCUUGAUGGCUGUCCUGUGAUGGAAAAUAGAAUUGAUGAAGUAUUGCUUUGUCAUUUAGAUGUAUAGUUUGCUAAUACUGCUUCAUAUAUCACUUGAGAGAGCACAGUUAUAUGGUUUGCAAUUUUGAUAUUUUUAAGGUACCAAAUCAUCUAAGAGGUUUCGGUACAUAAAGAUCAGUUCGUUUGAAAUAUUCCACAUGCUUAGCACAUCAAUUUUGUUCCAUAAGCUACAGUAUGCGUUUUAUUUUUCACAUAUUUAGCAGAACAAUUUAGUCGCUCUAAAUGCUAGUGCUUCUUGUACCAAAUUAUUUACUUCAUUUUUUGAACCUUAUUGCAGGUUUCUCGAGGAGGCCAGUCUGUAACUCUUGUAGGGAAGAGUUUGGUCUUGUUUGGGGGUGAAGACGAGAACAGAUCUCUACUCAAUGAUUUACAUGUCCUUGAUCUCGAAACCAUGACAUGGAAUGAAGUGGAUUUAGUGUAAGAAACACUUUUGGUUCCUUAUCUCAUAGUUUAAAGCUCCUCGGUUUUAUUCUCGUUAUAGAUAUUGAGAAUGAUGAAUGUCUUUCCUUUGCUUCUUUUAAUGCAUUUUCGAAGCAAUAUAGUGCGAGGACCGCUUCUUUUCUUUUUCUGCUUAAGGAUGUAUUACAUGCAAUUCGUUACAAUAUUUUUUCCUUCAUUAGAAGGCUUCAUCAAUGAUGGUUUCUGAUUUUGAGAUUAGUUUGCUGCCAUCAACUAAUUACCUUCAAACUGUGGAUAAACUAGCAUGAAUAGUGAUAUACUGAGUUACGUUGAAAAGUAAAUUUAUCAUUAAAAUUGAAGGGUCUUGCAAGAUCCUUGCUAGAGGACCAACUUUUAGGAAGCGAAGGAUCUUUUGUUACCACCUAGGAGAUGGGAACUUUUUGUAAACUCUUCAAGAAGUUGUUAUCUAAUGGUCAUGGACUAGGGUGAUAUCAGGGUGGAAGGUCACCCAGGAGAGUUACAAUUCCAGUACCCUCACCUCCGGCCUAUAUUUACAUGGGCCAUUGAUAUUUUCAUAAGUCAAGUCUAGAAAGUCUGCAGAUUAUCCUUAAUGAGAGGGUUCUUCAUGUUUUCUGCCCCUUGCUUUUCCCUCAUUCUUUCUUUACCUAUCGCAAGACAACCUAUCAAACUCUCUACAAGUAAUGGCCAUAGCGGUUGAAAAUUCCACAUUAACGCUGAUGUAGAGACUCUCUACCCACUUUUGUUUUUUCCUCAAUUGAAAAAACUCGUGAGAAGGAUCUUGAGAGUUCCCUUUAGACAUUAAACCUCAUGGUUCAUUGAGCUUACAAACUUAAACACUGGCAGCCACGCCAUCCAGGCUGAUAUAUCGUUCUUAGUAUCAAUAAAUUACCAUAUGACGUGAACAACAUCAAAGCAUGAGUUCUGUCCUUCAUUUCUCUUAUCUGGUCAAAUAUUUCAAAACUAAAUGAAAUACGAAUUCAGGCUUUGCAAACUAUCCUUAGUCGAGUAAGUAGAAAACUCAAGAACUGAAGCAAUACGAGGUCGUGAUCUGAAGCCUGAUGUACUGAAUUUGUGGGAUGUGUGACAGAUUAUCUGGAAAUAAUUACCUAGUUUGGAAGGAACAUUGGCCGCCAUUGUAUAACCACUAAUCAACAUAUGCUGCUUCUUGGGUCAAAAUGCAAACCUAUAAUAGGAAUAAUGGCUUUUGCCAGUUUAUAAUGAUUUUCUGUUAUAUUGGAUGACACUACUUGCAAUCUCUGGGCAGUUUUGGAUCUGGAAAUUGCAUGAUUUUAAAGAGGAAUGAAAGCUAUCUGAAGAGAUUUGGUGCUUUAUUGGCCUUCAUCUACAUGCAUGGGCAGAGUUUUCGGCUGGAUAUUCGCAACUCCCUUUUUAUUCACCCAAGUGUAGAGAUUUCUCUACACGAUAAGAAUUUUCUUAUGUAGAAAGAUUUUUAUGGACAGCUUUUCAGAUCAAUGUGUCGACUCGUUGCUUCACACCAUAGAUAGCUAUUGCUGAUUGGUUCCAAGUUUUGGUUACGGAGAAUAUAAAUGUUUGCAUGGAGCAGUCUAGGCACUGAUCUGCAGUUAUAGUCGGUUGUGUAGAGUAUAUUAAUUGUACUUAUGGCAGGUUCAACAUUCUCUUUGAUAUGGUGAAAAAUAUAAACAAUGUCAAUGGAAAAUCAUGAAUUAGAACGAGAAAAGGAUAAGACAGAAAGCCUGUCGAAAGGUGGGCCAAUGUGUCCAUGUGGUAUUAGCUAUCUGUGGCAUAGUUGGGUCGCAAUGGCACCAUGGGGUUGUAACAUUUGCAGUUCGGAGGCAGGAAAUUUCCUUAGUUUAGGAGAAAAUAUUUAUCGUUAAUCCCUCUCCGAAAGCGAAUAACGUUUAAUUGAUAAAAAAAAAUUUUGUACACCGCUACAAACUGAACAGACUGUAUACUUUUUGAAGUUUGGAGUUGUUUUACUUAGCAUUUUCAGAACAUUCACAUAAUUGUCUUGGUGUAAGUCUGCGUACUUCACCUUUGUGUAAGCGUCAUGUGAAAUGUACUUGACAUUUAGCAGUGGCCAGCCACCUUCUCCAAGAAUGGAUCACACUGCGGCCAUACAUGCAGAGCGGUACCUAUUAAUAUUUGGAGGGGCUUCUUAUGCCACUUGCUUUAAUGACCUCCACGUCCUUGACCUGAAGAUUGUGAGUGCAGUUUCUAUCCUUCUGUCUCCCACCGUGCCUUAUUUGGCUGCUUGUUCAAUUUCUAAAAUAAAGUGAUUCUGUUGCAGAUGGAAUGGUCAAGACCUAAGCAACAAGGUAUCAUUCCAGCUCCACGAGCUGGCCAUGCUGGUACAACUAUAGGAGAGAACUGGUUUAUUGUUGGCGGGGGUGAUAAUAAGAAUGGUACGCUUGAUAUCACUCGAUCUGAUUGGUUUUCUUUUGUUCUGUGAUUAAUACUUUGGUUUUAUUAUUGAGCCUUUUCUUUGGUUGCUUCUAUAAGGAUUUAGUGUUUCUCAAAUGAGCUGUGUCAUGAUAAAGAGGUAUCAGAAUAGGUUCAUCACUAGUUUCUUUUUUAGUGCUAGGUUGAUUCCUAGCUCUACUUCCACGGUAUGUUUAUUUUAUCAUGAUUAAUCGAAACUAGACAUACGGAGGAUGAGGAAUAACCAGCAUAACUUUCCAAUGAAUUUACUCGGAUUCAUCUUUUCUGUGCAAGGCAGCUUUUGAAACAUGCCUGUUGCUUGUUUACGUCUGUGAUAGAAUUCUAAUACAUGGACCCAAUAGUAGGAAGAGGUCUUCAUAGAUAGUUAAUUGCAAUUAAUAAAAUGUUUGCCAUGGAUUCAGCUGGAUUCUCAAGUUUAUGUUUUAUAAUAUCUUCACACAUUUGACGUUAAUAUGAUUAUGGGCUACAUACUCGACCAAAAGCAUCACUUUGAUUUUCUUUCUGCUUAAUAAUUUUGAAUUAAAUACGGAAUAAGACAUUGCCAACAUAAUUUUCUAAUUAUGCAUUCGUGACCGACUGUUUUUCAAGUUGCCACGUUACUUUCAAUGAUCUUUGACUGCUAUUUCUUGGUUGGCAGUUGACAAAAUUUUGUUCUAGUAUUUUUUUUUCUUAUGCACCAUGUUCUGAAAACUUUCUGCUUUCUCUGAGGCGCUUUAUGCUCUUUAAGACCAGACGCAUAUAUUUUCUCUGGAAAUGAUUUUGGGAUCUGUUAAAGUUUUGAGCCAAUUUCAAUAGUCUUUCUCCGGCCAUUAUUUUCACGUACUUUGAAACCGUUUCAUGGAUGUCCUUUCAAAUGUAUGUGCAAUACUCUGCAGGUAUCUCUGAUACGCUUGUGUUGAAUAUGUCUACCUUGGUCUGGUCAGUUGUUACCACAGUUCAAGGACGUGUACCUAUAGCUAGUGAGGUGUGUUUCUGCUCUCUUCGAAUAUUGAUUCUCACAGCUCUCUUUGGAUUUGAAAUGCAAUGUGAUCUAGAAUUUAAAAAGAAUCUGGUAGGAAUGGGAUUUUUUCCACUUCUGGACUCAGUGUUAUUAUAUUAUUGUUAUCACCUUCUAAUUUUACUAUUUGGAACAGUGGACCAAUAGUGCACCAUGUUUGGGGGAAACGGUACCCAUGGUGUGAAUUUACUUCCUAGAAAUUAGUUGCAAAAAGAAUUCAUCUAAUUUCUGGAACGCAGGAACUGUCUAAAUAUUUUGGUAAAUUACAAGUAAAAUCGAGAGGAGGAAUUCAGUCAAGGGUAUGGCCACAAUGGAGAUGGCUUGGGCUGCCGUACCCGUAGUAAAGCUCUGAACUACCCUACAACAGCAGUCUCAUUCCUUUGCCUCUUCUUUAAGGCAAGGUUAUCUCGAGUUCCCAGCUUGACUCUCAACCUUUUAGAGGUGAUGAACAGCUUUUAAUCAUAAUCUUCCCUAAUAGUUCAUUUGCCGAAUAUGUAGGUUUGUACUAGAAUCACCAUAUUAACAAGAGAAUCAGCCUACUCCUAGCUAAAAAGUGUAGAACCCAUGUCAGAUUCUUUGAUCUACUCAGGUUCACUGAUUUCGGACCAUUCAUUUUAUCAGAAUAUUCGCUCCAGCCAGGGCUGAGUUUGGGUGUUUUAUCCCUACCUCUUUUAGUGUGAAUCUUGGAUUUAGAGAGAGAGAGAGAGAGAGAGCAUUGUCAUUUUUGUCAUGCCAUGCUAAUUUUGGGAUGUAGACUGAUGAGUAUGAUGAUUACUUUUGAAAGCAGGGAGUGUAAUAGGGGAAUCGGUGUGAUCCCAAUCAUGUUACUCUAUUUUUGGGGUUCCCAUGGAACACUUUUACAGCCACACCCGUGCAAAGGGAAACCUGCGUUUUCAUUCCCAAUCCGCUAUAUAAAGAUUGUUAAUGCACUGGAGGUGACGGGUGUAAAGAACGUGGCUUGUUUUCUGAAAACCAGACGAUUCAUCACAGUGAAGAACAAAGAACUUUAUUCAAAUCGAAGUUUUAUUUCAUGGAUUCUCCGAAAUGCAGUUAUUUUUUUCUUUUUAUUUGCUAUGUGAAUGGUUGCCAGAUUUCUGGAACGAUGGUUGCGGUGCGUUUAUUGAUGCAAAUAAUUCAAAUUGAAGACUGAAACCUAUAAGAAGUGCGAGUAAAAGAUUACAUUACUCAAUAUGCAAAAAUUAUAUUUAUAUUAAUUUUCUUAGUUAUUUAUUCACAGGGCUUGAGUUUGGUUGCAAGUUCAUACACAGGGGAAGAUAUUCUGCUUUCAUUUGGAGGGUACAAUGGGCGAUACUGCAAUGAUGUUAGUUCUUACCAUCUAUUUGCUUAUUCAAAUACUUUUAAGGAAAAUUCCUAAUCUCAGUAUCUUCCCUUCCAGGUUUAUGCCCUUAAACCAAGCCACAAAACGGCAUUGCAAUCCAAAAUAUUUGAAGAGUCUGUGCCAGAGAGUGUUGCUGGCCUUCCCACAAAUGCAACCAGAGACAUCGAACCAGAGCUUGAAACUGAUCAAGAUGGAAAAGUUAGGGAAAUCUUGAUGGACAGCAUCGACUCACGGCUCAUGGUAAUUUCCAUAUAUUUCAUACGUAGUAUAUGUUUGAUGAGUGUGGUAAAGCCGUCUAUUAUCCCUGUGUGGAUCUUAGGAAAAGGAGAAUCAAUUUGUGAGCCAUAAAUAGUAGCUCCCUUGUACUACUGCCCCUUGGCCGCGUUUUUUCUGAAUAAAAGUGGGGUUGCUCUCGCAGAAUGUCAAGACCGUGGAGGCAUAUGAACAGCAGCUGGCGAACCUUAAGGCGGAGAAAGAAGAACUGGCAAUGAUCCUCUCGAAGGAGCAGUCACAGGCGAGUCAACUGAAGCAAGACAUUGCAGAAGCAGGGACACAAAUUUCGGAGCUUAUGAAGGUAAGUGAUUAAAUAAUCCCAUAAUGGAAAGAAUAAAUAAAGCUGCGUGGUUGCUCUCAUGCACCUUCUCUACUUAUCUUAGGUUAACUCUGUGCCACAUAAUCAGAUGGGCUUUCAUGGCAUCAGAGCUGUUUGGUGCUCUUAGAUUAAGCACGUGAAGAUUCUAUCUUCAUUUUGGUGCAGAUCCUUUGAACGAUUAUUCCCGCAUUAAUAUUGUGUUCGGUGCAGCAUCUCUCGGGAUAAAAUACGGGCAACUCCUCUGCUUUCAUCCCCAAGAAAUCAUCAAAAUCUCUUUGCCUUUCUUCUGAAACCAAAAGAGUUUGCCCGAGAAGCCGGAAAAAAAAAAUGGAGUUUCUUUUAAAGUCCCAAUUUGUAGUAAAAUUAAGCAUUCAAAAUUUUCUUUUAUUUUUCCCAGAUGUGAAAUGUUACUUGAGAACCAUAUGUGCCUUGCUCUUCGAGAAACAUAACUAAAAAAAAAAAAACUGGGCUGUUUUCAUGAACUGACGAUCCCUGCGUUCUUUCUGACGAUCUGCAGGAGCUUCAGUCUAUCAGAAGUCAGCUUGCUGCUGAGCAGUCGAGAUGCUUCAAACUGGAGGUACACACUGAUGACUUGAUUAUUGCCAUGAAAAGAAGAUACACGGCGUGGCUCAGAUUUACCAGAGAAAAUACUAGAAAAUAGUCCUUGCCAAUCUCAAUCCACACCAGGACCAGGCUUAAGCUCGAUCUGCCCUAAAAGUCUGAAUCCCAUUUUUCUUGCUCCACAGCUGUCAGAUAAUCGCUCAUCCCUCUCUCUCUCNNNNNNNNNNNNNNNNNNNNNNNNNNNNNNNNNNNNNNNNNNNNNNNNNNNNNNNNNNNNNNNNNNNNNNNNNNNNNNNNNNNNNNNNNNNNNNNNNNNNNNNNNNNNNNNNNNNNNNNNNNNNNNNNNNNNNNNNNNNNNNNNNNNNNNNNNNNNNNNNNNNNNNNNNNNNNNNNNNNNNNNNNNNNNNNNNNNNNNNNNNNNNNNNNNNNNNNNNNNNNNNNNNNNNNNNNNNNNNNNNNNNNNNNNNNNNNNNNNNNNNNNNNNNNNNNNNNNNNNNNNNNNNNNNNNNNNNNNNNNNNNNNNNNNNNNNNNNNNNNNNNNNNNNNNNNNNNNNNNNNNNNNNNNNNNNNNNNNNNNNNNNNNNNNNNNNNNNNNNNNNNNNNNNNNNNNNNNNNNNNNNNNNNNNNNNNNNNNNNNNNNNNNNNNNNNNNNNNNNNNNNNNNNNNNNNNNNNNNNNNNNNNNNNNNNNNNNNNNNNNNNNNNNNNNNNNNNNNNNNNNNNNNNNNNNNNNNNNNNNNNNNNNNNNNNNNNNNNNNNNNNNNNNNNNNNNNNNNNNNNNNNNNNNNNNNNNNNNNNNNNNNNNNNNNNNNNNNNNNNNNNNNNNNNNNNNNNNNNNNNNNNNNNNNNNNNNNNNNNNNNNNNNNNNNNNNNNNNNNNNNNNNNNNNNNNNNNNNNNNNNNNNNNNNNNNNNNNNNNNNNNNNNNNNNNNNNNNNNNNNNNNNNNNNNNNNNNNNNNNNNNNNNNNNNNNNNNNNNNNNNNNNNNNNNNNNNNNNNNNNNNNNNNNNNNNNNNNNNNNNNNNNNNNNNNNNNNNNNNNNNNNNNNNNNNNNNNNNNNNNNNNNNNNNNNNNNNNNNNNNNNNNNNNNNNNNNNNNNNNNNNNNNNNNNNNNNNNNNNNNNNNNNNNNNNNNNNNNNNNNNNNNNNNNNNNNNNNNNNNNNNNNNNNNNNCUCUCUCUCUGCCACUCUUCAUUGCCUUCAAGGGCCAGGGGCUUCUUCUACCCAGAAGCCCGAAGUUGGGGUUCCUCAUCCUCUUCCUCCCCAUGGUCCCUUCCCUCAUUUCCCGUGGGUUCUUCGAUUCAGCUCACCUCCCUCCGUUCGCGUUGACUUUCUUCACAGCCCUUCGCUCAGAUCCCAGCCUUCCAUAAAUGCCCACGAGCGACUGAAAGAUCUCCAUCGCCCCAAUAUUCUUCUAAUCUCACCUGCUGAGGUGUAAGCCCAGAAGUUCGACCUCCAAGCUGGCCUUCGACCUGGGUCUUCAAGCCCCAUUCUCGGCGGCGGAGCCGCAGCGUGGCAGCAGACCCCAUUACCCACCGGCGACUGCUUCGGCCUCGCUGACGCCCGCCACCAGCCCAUCGUCCACUACCUCGUGAAAGCUCCGGUCAACCCCAACGUGAACUGGUGGGUUGCCGGCGUCCUGGCGGCCGCCAUGCAGAGGGCCGCUUGGCCAGCAUCAAGUUUUAGAUAUUCAGUUGUUUCCUAAACCCAUAACGUCCUCAAGUGACUUCUCCGAUGGUUAAAUGAGUCUUUGGAACUCAUUGCCACAAAUCAAACAGCUCUGGAGGAUUCAAAAGUUCAAUGCUUCCGCAUUGCGUUCGGAUAAACUUGCAAUUGACCGAGACUUGUCUUAGUAAAAAGGAAAAAUGUUAUAGUUGUCACUUUGGAAAGCCACUUAUAAUGUGUAAAAGGUGUUAAGAUAUUAAAAACAAGGGUUUCAGAGAGGAAUUGUCUAAGAUGAGGCCCGAGCAUUACAUUUAUUGACGUUUUAUGAAUGCUUCAGUAUGCAAAAUUUAUUUUGACACCAUAGCAACAUGGGUUUAUUUUGAAGAUUUAUCUCUUCCCCUUGGGCCAACAGAAUAUUUUGAACUAAAUCUUGUAAAAUCAUCACCACUUUAUCUCUCUAUAUAUUUAACAUAAAAAACUUCACUUUUAUGUCGUGCAAAAAAUGAGUUCAUUUUCAAUUAUAAUAAGUUUCAACUUAAAUGGCAUAAAGUACAUCACGAUAUUAUGAGCCCAAUCAUAGAUGUGCCUAGGGUGCUACAAGAGCUUUGUUUUCGUUAUAGGAAUUGGCAUAACUAUAGUUUGUACCAUCUAAUCUCCCAUAGUGACCUUAAAACUAUUUUCACAUAGGUUGGCCUCAUUUAUUAUCCCUGUUCUUUUUAUAUAUUAUUUAAGUUUCUCUUCAUACCCUUCCUUUAGAAGGAAUUAAAAUUCAAUAAUCAUUCAUCAAUAAGUUUAUUCAUUCCUAUUAAGUUAUUAUUUCACGAACACUUAGGAAAUGAGAUUAACAUCAUAAAAAUAAAAACUAAAUCAGAAAUAUAAGUUAUUUAUAAAAAAUAGAAAGGGCAAUCUCAACCUAUUAGAUGCAUCAUUAAAAUAGGAACAAGGUAAAAUAUUCAAAUAUAAGAAUACUAAUAUGAAUGGAAAAAAUAAUGGGAUAUUAAUAUAUCAAAUACAUCUUAUACCUGUUAAAGGCCAUUGGAUGGUUAUAUCAUUAAGUAGUAGUAAAAGUUAAUGUUCAUUAGAGUGUAUGCGGAAAUCCAUGCUGCACUAACCAGAUAGUGUAUACCAUAGAUCAAGAGACGAACCCUCCAUGGGCUUGUUGAAAAUUAGUGCGCAUGUUCUACACUGGAUCAAGUAGACAAAAAAUUAUCCCUAUUGUUUACCAAAGAGGGGCAAACCUAUGAUUCGCAAGUCCUAGGUUGUCUUGAUGGAACAUACCAUUGCAAAAAGGGGAGAAAAGAAAGUUUUCUGCAGCUCUAUCUUCUUCAACGCCAAUCAUGCCUUGCAACUCUCCUACUGAAGUGGGUUUUUUAGGGUUGAUAUACUACAUAAUAGGUCUGCAUUCCAGCAUUCCAGUGAAAGUAAGACGAUUCAAUGUCUAAUUUUGGUAGGAUAAUUGAACUUUCAGAUGAUAAUGAUGCACCUCAAGCCCCAAGCAAGUGGAGUCAUGUCUUUCCCGAUGACUGAUUCUUAUGAUUUUUAAUUAGGAAUGUAACAAAACCCAUGUCAAUGGAAGUGAGAAUAUCUUCAUCCACAUUAAGAAGUAAAUAUGCCGCAGCCUUGGUGUUAUGAUAAAAAAGAGUGAGGCAUCUACCUCUCCUGUUGUUCUUAUUAUUGAAUUGCAUGUCCACACGUCAAUUAGCAUACGUAUGCUCCAAGCGUUAUAUGAUCGCCCUUGCCUCUGGAAACCAAAAGAGGUAAGAUCAGAAGAAUAAAAACUACAUUCAUUUUCCAGAAGGGGGAUUGGAAAUCCUUGAGUUGUCUAUGACAUGUAGUAAACAUCUUGAAUUCUUAAUCUUUGAAAGAAGUGAUUUGACCAAAUGAUUGUAAAGGCAUGUAACCUGGUUUUGAUUUGCUAACAUAAAAUAGUUGAUUCAGGGAGACUGAGAUGAUUUAUCACUGAAACGUAUUCGAUUUCGUUUCUUCUUAUUGUUCUUCGUUUCUCCUCAAAUUUUUAGGUAUUUUUGUAAGAUUUUCUCAGUUCUGUGUACCUAUCUGUUCUUCUGAAACACUUGAUGAAUGCCUGUAACAGAUUCUGCUGAAGAAAGGAAAUUCUGAUCCCCCUAUCGUUGACUCAGUCAUCAUUAAUGCACAAUAUUAGAUAUAAUAAAAAUAAUAAAUAAAUAAGAAAAUUUUAAAUAGCUUAAACUAGGAACUACACCAUAAUCUUGCUUAGUUAUCCACACAAAUAAGGUAUUUGAGUAAUUUCCAAGCGAAAUGUGUUGAAGUCAAUGGACCGUUCGACAUAAAAUUGACCACUUAGUGAUAUUUACUUCUCAAUUCUGUAGUAUAAGAUUAUCUAGAUAGACAACCCUUUUUCAGAAAAAAGUGUUUAAUUUAACACCAACUAACAUUCUGGUUAGUUAAUUGGUUUUAACUUACAAUGUGUGAUGAAUUUAACUUAUCGUUUAAAGACCACCGCUGAUUGGUGCUCUUAGGUAUGGAAAGUGUAGCUGGCUGAAUUUAGUGUUAUUACUUCAUUGUUAGAAUCAUUAUGGUAUGUUGGACUCACAGCUGCAACAACCAGUCAUUCAAAGCUUCCUUCAUAUUCAAGUCAAAUGGGGAUGGCCUUUCGAGAUCUUAUGCUCAUCAGGAGGGAUUUUAAUUGUCUAUAAAUAUCGAAUUACCUAACGACACCUAAAAAAUCUCGAAUCCUGAAUGUCCCUCCUCUUUUGGAUAAGAUUUAUUCGAGCACAAUUAUUGAGGUCUGGGACAAACUUCCCCAUCAUCACUCAAGCAUAACCCAAUAGAAUAUCUCCGCGUGCCUGCCGGCCAAUUUCUAAAGUCAAUUAGUAACUUAAUCCCCUCCACCCCCCCCCCCCCCCCCCCCCCCCN